GUUUAAGUGGUGAGGUUGCAGCAGCGACUAAGCAUAUAUUUGGUGGCUAACUUAUGAAUACCAGAAAUAAGAGGGGGGAGAUCUACGCAUAGCGGACGUGAACUACUGAUGAUCAAAUGAAUGAUCCUGAACACCUACCUACGUCAGACAUAACCCCACCGUGUCCUUGAUCGGAGAAGGAACUCAUGAAAGAGACAGUCACGGUUACGCACACAGUUGGCAAGUUUUAAUUAACUUAACUUCAAGUUAUCUAGAACCAGUGUUAAACAAAGUUUCCACGUUGCCACAUAACCGCGGGCACGGCUUCGAAAAGAUUUAACCCUGCAGGGGUGCUCCAACUAGUCCAUCACAAAUUACCACAAGCCGCAUAGAAAUCCUCAAUCACGAAGCUCGCGAUCUCGUCGGAUUCCCUAGUGGAAAACCUCAACUCUGAGAUUACCCAAAGCAUCAUCGGAAUCCCGAUGCACAAGAUAUCUCGUCAAAGGUAAAAUUAAUCCAGCAAGGCCGCCCGACGUGUCGACGAUCCCGAUAGGAGUCGCGUACCUCGUUCUCAGGACACGGCGGAUGAGCUAGACGUCGGGAUCGCUAAACCUCCGGGUGACCAGAGGGGCCCCGGACAUCGCUCAGGUGGGGCCAACACUCGUGAGGAGCACUGGCCCGGGGGUUGAUUAAAUUAUCCUCGGGGUCCGGAAAGUCCCUAUGCAAUUUUAUUAGGUGUUUAGGCAAAUGUAGUACCAAAGUUGGGCCUUGCCAGACCAGCUUUAGUCUAAAACGAAUUAUCAAGGGGGUCCCCAUAACAACCCCGAUCGUGUUAGGAGCGCUCAUUUAUGGAACAUAACACCGGUAGCCGGAAACAAAGGGGGCAAAGGUGGAACAAAACACCAGGCUAGAAAGGCCGAGCCUUCCACCUUUUACCAAGUAUAUAGGUGCAUUAAAUUAAAUAGCAUUUAAAUAUGGUGAUAUAACAAGGAACCCAUGUUAUCACAUGGAAGCAACUACACCUGCAACUAGCAACGCUAUCAACAGGGUUAAGCAAGCAGGAACAUAGCCAAUGAGUGGUUUGCUAGGUUGAACAGGUAGAAGGUUAUCAUGUCAUUGUUGAGAGGCUGAUAUUUAACAUGUGGUAGGCAACGAGACAUAAUCGAUAGCAUCAAAAUAACUAGCAAGGCAAUGAUAGUAAUGAUAUCUAGGGAAUUGGUCAUCUUGCCUGAGAUCCCGCUUGGAAGAAGAAUGCCUCCGUGAAGCAGACGAACCGACGUAGUCGAACGGGUCCUCACAUCCGACACGUUUGCGGAACUCUAUCGAGACGAAGCAAAGCGGAAACACAAAUCAACACACGGAAUUCACCACACGAUGCACAACACAAAUGAUGCAUGAACAGCUGAAUACAUGCAAGUCACGGCAUGACAAUCCACACAAUCAAACACUACGCAUUAAGUCAAGUUCAAUAUGCAACGAGUUUCAUAUUGACGAAACUCCAUAUACGGAUUAUUUAGUUCUAUCUCGAUUAGGUACACGACAAUAUUAAAUGUUGUUAAACAUGGCAAGAGGUGAAGCACAAAUUGAACUACUUAUCUAAGCAUUUUAAAUGAGGUCGGAAAUGACUUAUAGCACCUCCGAAACGACCUCACAUGUUAAUUUACAAUUCUGUCCAGAUCUGAACUAACGCAUUUAAUUAGUUGUUAAACAGCAAAAAAAAUAGGUUCAAGUGAUUCUACGCGUCAUGGCAAGCAAUCUACACAUAGAGAUCAACUCCAACGGAGCUACGGAUCAAAAGUUACAAGCACCGCAAGAUAUGAUGGCAUGAAUGCAAUAUGUGUGCAACGACGGCUACGAGCACCUCAAAUCAUACAACCAGCAAGAGAAAAUGAAACUACACGAGAUUCUAAGCAAGUUUCAUGUAGGGCACGAUCAAAACGGAGCUACGGUUUAAAAGAUACGAGCAAAUCAAGAAAACACUACAAUCUGUCAAAAUCAGCCACAUAGCAUUUUCUACGCCCCACAACUACGAGCUACACAACUCCGAUAAACUCAAGCAAGGCAUGACACAAAAGAGGGCAAGAAGCACUUCUACAAACAACUAACAACAACUAGCAUGGCAGCAAGGAGCACUAGGAAAAGAAGACACAAAAUGGCAUUUCACACACUAUUUCAGACUUAGUGAAAAUUACACCUCAUGAAAGUACAGUUUUCGAUCUGAAGCUAUAUUGACAGCAGCAAAACCUAUAGCUACAGGACUCUAAAUGGCAUGAAAAUUUACAGCAUGCUAGAGAAACACAAGGGGUACAACUAACUCCAUUGUACCAACCUCAAAAGAGCUACAGAUCACAAGAUGCAAGCAAGACAAGACAGCAAUAAAAUAUAACAGAUUUCAGACUUAGAAAUAUUUCAGCUCCUCCAAAUCAGCACUAUUUCUAGCAACUUGAGAGCAAGCAAACAACACCUAAACAUGCAUUUCUAUUGCAACCAAAAAUACCAGGGGCUAAACAAAACAUCCAAGAUCAACUCUCUAGUUGACAACUCCGUCAAACGAAGCACGGAAUAAAUCCUACGAAUUAAAGAAAAGGGCAACAUAGCAAAAUAUCGCGCGAACUAACUUUCUACCCCGAAAAAUUCCAUGGAUUUUUCUACCCCGAAAACAUAUAAAAUAUGUGGGGUUGCAACUCAAAAAUAUUACCACACGAAAAUGCGAGAUAAUGGCCUAGACACGGAAAAUAAUCUAGCGGCAAAUACCUACACGCAAAAAUACCAACGACUACUCUAAAAUACCUGGAAAAUAGGUUCCUAAUACAUGGGCAUUUCUAAUACGGCAUUGGAGCAAUUCGAACACGCGCGAAAAAUUAAAUACGCGACUAAACCUAUUGGGACAGCACGCCAAACAGCGUCAAACAAAUAUGCAAGUAGCGCCAACGUAUUCUACGCGCAAAACUACGCGAAAUCCAUAUGCUACAUGCCUCAAUCCGACUUACGGAAUAAAAGAUACGUACGUGUGAAAAUAUGACAUUUUUCUGAAAACAGAAUAAAGCCGAAAUGGGCCGAAAGCGCAGGCGCAACAUAUUAAAAACGCGCUGGGGGCGGGGAAUACCUCACCCGGGCCUGGCCGGCGUGGACAGAGCGGCAACCGGGCCGAAGGGGCGCUGGGGGAAGGCCGAAUUGGGCCUGGUCCGGCCUGGUGGGGAGGAAAUCGGCCCACACGGGUGGCCUGCCUGGAGCGGCCUCAUCCCCGAGCUCGGCUCGGUCCUGAGCGUAACACGGGAGGGGGCAACGGCGUGGAUCUGGCUCGCCGGCGUUUGGGGCAGCGGAUCCGGCCGAAACCCGGGUCGGACGGCGGCGGGGCGAGCAGGGAAGGCUCCGGCGGCGGGGAAGGCUAGCGCUAGCAGCAGCAAGGCCGAGCAGUCUUGCGCGCACUCCAACGAGCAGGCUGCCGACGGCACACCGGCCGGCGAGGAGGUGCGGCUGCGGACCGGCGGGGAACCAGCGGCGCUAGGGCGGCGUGCUCUCCGGCGGCGAGGAGCUGGCGACGGAGCGGCGCAGCAGGCUGCAGCAAGCUCGGGAGGAGGAGGGAGACUCGCCUCCAGGCGGCGGCACGGAUCCAGGCCCGGCGGGCCUCGGAUGGGCUCGGCGGGCCACGGUGGCUGGCGGCUGGCGGGAGAGAGAGAGGGGAUUAGGGUUAGGCAUGGUUUUCGAGGCAGAGGGGGUUGUCUGCCUAAAUUUUAGGAGGGGGUCUAUUUAUAGACAAUUGGGGGGGCUAGGUUAGCCGGAAUUUCGUUCCGGAUCCAACCGUGGGGUCGGAUUCGAACGAUUCCGCACGCGGGAACGGGUGCGUGGCCGUGUAGGGUGGUUUACCGGAGACGAGAGGGAAAACGGGCGGCACAGCAACGAUUUUUAAAACACCGACAAACGUCCGACGGUAGACCGAAUACGGUGCCGCAUGGUCGACCGUUCGGGUACCAGACGGACUCUGAUCGCGACGAAAUUCGACAGGUGGCCUAGCUAUAACUAAUAAAGACCGCACGUCAAAUCUCAACCCGAUGAGAGAAAGUUUUCAGCACAAUUUUAAAACAGGGUUCAAACGUUGCCUCGGGCGCUUGCGUGUGCGGUCAGGCUCGAAACGAACAACGACGAUAACCGGCAACUAACAACGGAUGCAACGUUUGAAAACUGGCGGCAACGGAGAUGCCGAUGCAAUGCAUAUGAUGCGCAUGAUGCGAUGAAGAUGCGACAAAAGAAAAUAGACACACGACGAAAACGGAAAGAAGGGAGAAUCUUCUGGAACGUCGGCAUUGGGCUAUCACACCGUGCCAGCAGGUCGCCUGCGCAGCCCCUGGCCCCCUUGUGGCCCAUCUUCGGUGAUCCGGAAGCUUCUGUUUCGCUGAUUUCUAUAUGUUUUUCCUGGAAUUUUUCGAUCUUCGGAAAAUUGGGUAAAAGCCCCUGUAAAAUAGACAUCAGCAGACAAAAAUUGUCACUGGGUGCACUGAGUUAGUAGGUUAGUCCAAAUAUGUGUGAAAUGAUAUAAAAGUGUAGAAAAACAUAUAACAAUGUCACCCAAAAGAUCAUGGAACAAGCAGAAAUUAUAUAUACGUUUGGGACGUAUCAGCUGCCGCCGGUGAGCUCUCCCCUCUCUCUGUGUCGAGGUAGAAGACAACCUGACAGGGGAGCCCCACCUGUCAGUAUCUGUCUCUCUCUUCUCUCGCUCCUAGUCAGUGAAUGCCUGGCGUGUGAGGUUCAAACCUGACGUCGCGCGCGCACAUGGGCUCGCUAGCUGGGCGGCCAAUUAGGCCAGCCCAGCUGUUCGAUGGAUCUGGCCUGGCCGCUGGCCCUUUUUCUUUUCCUUCUUGGAUUUUAAUUAAAUAAAUUCCACACGGCUAUAAAUGCAUCCAAUUCCAAUAAUUUUUCUGGCAUAAUUCUUGUUUAAAUGUGAGGAAUUUAAUAAAACUAUCUCUGUAAUUUUUAUAGAAGCUUUUGUGUAUAAGUUUAAAUUAAAACUUACAAUAAAGAUAUUUCAGCCUCUAUGAAAAAUAUUUUAAAAAUCCUUUUCACUUCAUAACAAGAAACAAAUAUUUUUAGAAAUGAAGUUGGAAUUUUACAGAAUAGGGUAACAUUUUAGAAGUGGAUUGUGUGCCUUGUUUUUGCUGUGAUUCUUCUUAUAUAUAUUAUUAUCGCGACGAUAGAUCAUGUGUUUGCCGAAGGACUUGGACCCGAAGACCUCGAAGAUCCAGGAGACUUUGCUGACCAAGACAAACAACCCUUUGACCGUGUGUGAGAAAAUGCUGUCAUGCAUGCCAUGUUUAUUAUAUCAUUCCGAUGCAUAUGAUCAUGACUAAAUUGGUAAACCCGUCGGUAUGGUGUUUACAAUGGUUCGUCGAUAGCACUUGCAUUUGAGCAUGACCCUACCAUCUAUCAGGGUCACGCAUAUAAAAAGUUGAUAGUUUGAUAGUAGUUCUACGCAUAGGAUGAGCAUAUGCAUGCUGAUGGUAACACGGUGGUGAUUUCACAAACUUUUCAAAAACCCUAUCGGGUGCCACUAAUGCCCUAAGGUUAUGGUGUUGAGGUGGUGACCACUUGAGAAAGAGGCGGUGUACCAGCUAAAGAUUUUGUGCGUGUGGUUUCAAAUGCAAGGAGAGAUUUAAGAUGUGUUGAACAUCCCAACCUUACAUGUGCGACCACGAUACCCCAAUAUGGGAAUGGAGCUUUGUUGAUUACUUUGGUAGAUGUUAGCAAAGAGCCUGCAUUACUAGUAACGGGGUGACAUGGUCAUUCUUGGGACAGGGUUGUGCCAGGUAGGACGACUAUGUUGUUUUUACAGGUUCCAGGCAUACUGUUCGUCCCUGCAUGGAUGAUAUGAUUUAGAGAGAGGCUUGUAAGAUAUUCAUCAUGUGGGCUAGGUACCAAUCGAGUGGACUCUUUGUUUAGUGUCUUCAGGGGAAAGGCAUUGUUUGGGUGCUUACCUCGGGUAUGUUAUAUACCGCGAGUCGUGGAUGACACGGAAGUUCCCCAAGUCUCGUGGGUACAACGCACAACCUCUGCAGAGUGUAAAACUAUUCGAAUAGCCGUGUCCAUGGUCAGGGACAUUUGGGUAAUCCCGCUUAAAAUAUGUCCAAACGUCUUCGCAUAAACCAAGUGUGCGUGUGUGAUAAUGUGUUGAAUGAGAAAGAAGUUACUUGAGACAAGUCACAUGACUUGGCAACGAGGGUGAACAUGAGGUUUUCAGCCCUCGGUGUAAAAUAUCGAUAUUUGUAACCUGCUCAUGUGGUUAUCAUUUACCUUAUGAUGCAUGACCAUACAAGCACUUUACCAUGUUACUGCAUUUAGGGAAAAACUUGCUUUCCACAAAGGUUGUAUUCUAUAAUUAUAUCAUGCUUCAUUUGCAUUGUCCGCAUCAUGCAUUGCUUGCAAGUACAUUCAAUGUACUCAUUGGCUUUCCACUAGUUAUUUAAUUGGCCAGGCAUGGAAGAACCGCAGUACGAAGAAGAGUUCGUCAUCGGAGACGGACAUGCGAUAUAGGACGCUUCCGAGUCACAAUGCCUUUAGGUUAAGGCAGAUGGCAUGGGUUCACGUUAUCCUCCAAGUUAUCCGCAUCUCAGUAGUAUGUUGACGUGUAGGCAUUCGAAGCCGUAUUUAUGUAAUGACUUGGCCAUAAUGACCCAAUCUGUAUUGGACGUUAUUUAUUCUCGUUAUUCAGUAUCUAUGUGUUGAGUGAGCAUUGAUCUUUGGGAUCACUGUACAUAUACAUUCGUCAAUCUCGACCUACAAGUCGGGGUCCCCACAAUAAUAAGCAUAGAUUAUAGUAGAAAAAAUAUGCCACAAAUCACAAACAAAAAAUAAGUACUAUAAAUAACCUAGGAUAUGCCAAAUUUGGCAUAUGCCCAAAUUGGACAUAGACAGAUGAGGCAACCUACCCUAAAUGGCAAAAUUGCAAAAACAAAAGAAAAUUAAAAUGAACACAGGGGUCCACCGGCAGUCACACCAUGGCCCGUGAGUGAGAGCUUGACAAGUAGGACUAGGGCCCUUGUCACCUACAGUUCAGAUUAAACACAUGAGAGAAAUAAAUUGGGCUUGGGGGAUCAAACACGAGACCUCACGGUGCUGGACGGCACAACUAACCAGCUGGGCUAACACGUCUCGUUUGACCAGAAGGGUGGCUUGAGUCUUUUGACUCCAUCCUGCGCCUGGGCUGGGCCCACAAUUUAGCGACACAAACGCACACACUGCAUAGGCGACCACCGGCAGCGAUGAGAGAGGACACACGGCCAUGACGCCGCUACUCCGGUGACCCAAAGAUGCGGCGGAAGGCACAAGACUCUCUGAAACUACAUUCCGCAUGCACGCAUGCACUCUUGGCACGUAACGUUCAACAGAUCGACGUUGGCAACAGGAAACAGGGGCGGCGGCAAUGAGCUUGCCGAGCUAGCCACAUCGGGCAAACUCCUAUCUGACGUUGAAAACAGAAUGACGCGAUGAUGGUGAAGCCUAACACGCUGCUACACUGCACAAAACAAAGUCAAAGCUCUCACGAGAGACGAGGUUUGACGAUGGUGCACUCGGGCUCGAGGACGAUGACCAACAUAGAGCGCAAUUGAGGGGGAAAAGCGACUGGGACGCGUGGAUGCUCACGAGGAGGGGCUCGGCGUAGGCGAUCGGGCUCAAGGACGACGGGCUGCGGCGAAUUGCUGGCCGGCGACAAGCUCCUACCGAGGAAGAAGAACGCCAAUUGCGCCUAACCUUGACGUCUCUCGACGAAGCAGAGGAUGUCGUGGAAGCAGCACGAACGGGCGUAGCUCCUGAACGCUCUGGUCCUACUUGGUGCUGUCGAAGGGAUCGUCGCCGCCGCCGGGGUCGUUGGGCUCUCGGAGUAGUGGAUCUACAGGAGCUAAGCUCACCUGGCGGCGAUAGAGAGGGGGAAAAGGAAUCCUAGGAGUCCAAGACGUUGAGGGAAGGGUUUAAAUAGAGGGGCUAGGGAUCUAGCUGGCUGCCACGGCGGCUCGGCAACAUCGGUGCCUGCUUUUUAGUGUGUGAGAGGCGGGGGUGCAAGGACGAGGAAAGUGACGGUCGUUGUCGUUGGCAGGUGGGUCCAUAUGCGGCUUCCACAUGGAAAGGUGCACGCGCGCGCGAGGCUGGCUGCACGCUGCGCGUGAGGUGUGCCGCUCACACUGCUACUGCUGGUGUGCACUCCUGCUCACACCACAAGAAGCUUUCCUUUUAAUUAAAAAAUUUUGAGCAAGAAAAUAACUAUAGAAAAAGGAGGGGGUUCUAGGGUGAAGUAAAAUAUAUAUUUGGGCUCACAAUAAAACAUGCCCUAUUUUAUAAAACACAUUGGGCAUUUUUAGAAGCAAAAUUGAAAUGGCACUUAAUUUAAGCUAGCAAUGUAUUUGGUUUUUUACAAAUGGAUAGAGAGGCGCACAAGGUCAAGCUUAAUUUCAAAAACCCAUUCGCAAUAUUUACAAGCAUGGCAACAUUUUAAAAGAAGGAGUUGGGCAAGCAGAAAACCACCACAUUGCUUAAUUUCAAUAAAAUAGAGAAGAAGGUGUUUUCCAAAAGUUUGUAGGGAGGGGACUCACUCAUUAACAUACCACAUGGAUCAGCACCACACCACAACAUCCACUCCACUCCACGAAAGCACAUAUGCUCCCUUGGUGGUUUUAAUAAUUCAUGGCAACAUACAUUAUCUCUUCGAUUAACACUUUUACCUAGUAUAUUUCAAGCAUAGUCCACAAAGAGCAUUACCAUAUAGGAUUCUGAGGAGAAGCCCCUUGAUGCAAGGAAGGAAUAGGAUUGGCUCAAGCUUCAAGCAAGAAGACUCUUCAUUUUACAUCCGUGAGAAAUCAUUCUCAGUCCAUAGGUAAGAAAAUACUAUUAAAAGGGAGUGAGGUAUUAUGAUGAAUUUGUUGCUCAAGUGCUAAGAGGUAGCCACCAAAAAUACUCAGCCAUUCUCCCACAAGAUAUCUCUGUCCAAACCCAAACUAGGAAAAUCGGUGCCACCAACAAUUUCCAUUUGGCCCUACUGAUUUUACACUUGACACAUCCUUUUCCAAAGCCUACCAUCUCGGUACCACUAACAUUCCUAUCGGUGACAUCGAGAUUUAGUGACCAACUUUCUGUUGAGAAGAUUUCAAGAAGCAGAAUUUCCGAGUUUGAAAUUGGUCUUACCAAGAUUUGCAAACUGGUCUAGGUCAUCGUAUCGGUUCCACCGGGAUUCCUAUAUCGUCUCACCGAGUAGUCAAAAGUUGCCACAUUUAGUGCAACUCGGUACCAUCGAGAUUCAUUUCGGUGUCAACGAGUUGGGCAAUAAUGUUGUAACGGUUGGAUUUUGGGGGAUGCUUAUAUAUACCCUCCACCUACCUCUCAUUCAUAGAGGAAGCACUUAGAACACACUUACACAUGCCAGAUCCAUUUUUCUGAGAGAGAGCCACCUACUGAUGUGUUGAUAUUAAGAGAUUCCACUCCAACCAUUUGAACCUUGAUUUCUAGCCUCCCCAAGUUACUUUCUACAAGAUCAAUCUCUCCUACCCAUAACAAAUCUGAGAAAGAGAGAGUGAUUGAGUGUUGAGGAGACUAUCUUUAGAAGCACAGGAGCAAUGAGUUCAUCGUUCUACCACAUCAAUUACCUUUUGGAGGGUGGUGCCUCCUAGAUUCGUUAGCUGUCGCUUGGGAGCCUCCUACUUCGCGUUGUGGAGUUGAACCAAGAUGUUUGUAAGGGCAAGGAGAUUUCCUACUUCAUGAAGAUCUACCGUUAGUGAGGCUAGUCUUGUGUGGACGAAAGCCGUGGUGGAAUAGACAAGGUCACUUCUUUGUGGACCCCUAGUGAGUGGAGCCCUCUAUGGAUUCUCGCAGUCGUUACCCUCUGGGGGUUGAAGUCUCCACUAGCAUGGGUGUGCGAUGGCGCCACCUAUCGGAACCAUGCUAAAAUUCAUCGUGUCAACUUCUUUGUGUUUGAUCUUGUAACACCCUCUGUUUAGCUUUCCUCACUAAUUUACUUAUUUCAAAAAGUAGGACCAAUUUAAAAAAAAUUGAAUGCUUGUGAUGCUGAAGUGACUGUUGUUUGCUUGCUUGCUGGUAUGCUUGUGUUGAUUCUCAAUAAUUCUUGCUAUUCUCCAGGCUCACCUCCUUAGCCCAAAACUCCUCCCUAAUGAUCAUGCCAUGUGUUUAGGACCAGCAACUAUGUUUACCAGAUAUUAUUUUCACCAAAAAGCAUUUCUUUGAACUAUGCUUUCAAACCCCUCAAAUGAGAUUUGUACUACAAGUCCUCAAAUUAGGGAAUUUACAACAAUUAUUUUAUUUAAAACCCAUUAUCAAAAUGACUUCCCAAAACCACAAUAUGAUUAUUUUAAAGGUUAUUUUACUAUUUUAUUUAAAUGCCUUCCUAUGAGGCCAGAAAUGGUCUCUUAUGAAGGAAAGUUAUUUUUAUUGCUUUCAAAAUAUUUGAGAAAAUUUAGGGAAACUCAAUGGACAUAUAUAUUCCAUAUAUAUGAGUUUCAACACAUGGUCAUGUUCAAAAUAUUGGGCAAACCCCUUCAAAACCCUUCGUGCCUAUUUCAAGCUUUUGGAAUAUUUCUAUAAGAAAUAUUCUCAAUAAAUUCCAGUAAAACUCCAGCAUGUCACCUAAGAUAUAUUUGAUGAUCUUGCCAAGAGUCAUCUCAAUCCAAGUUGAUUUGACUCGCCUAAUUAUUCUAAAACCCUAUAUGUCCAGAUCCAAAUUUGAGCAACUCUACAUUGUCAAGUGUCUUCAAUUGUGCUCAAAUUUGGUGGACAUGUUCUUAUACUCCAAUAAUGCAUCCACACCAAGUGGUGCAUCAAGGAUAAUAGAAGAACUUGUCCCAAGACCCUCAAAACCUUCUGUGAUGAUUUCUCACUUUGGGAAACUUUACAUUAUAAACUUUCUCCAAUUGACCGCAAACUUUUUGGGCAUGCUUUAAUGCUCAAAUAAUGCCCGCACACCAAAUAUUGGAUUUUUGGGAAUUGAUUUGAAUAGAUUUGUAAGCAGAAAGCAAUUUCUGCCCAUUUCAUGGGUUUUCCAAGUCUAAAUUGGAAACCUUCUCCGCCAAAUCCCAAAUUUGGUGUCCAAGCUUAUUUUUAUGUACUAUUCGAUCCUGUUAAGUUUCAUAUCCAUUGAAGUCCAUCUGGUUGCUCUGCCACUCAUCAAACACCUUGUGUGCAUUCACUUUAUUGGCUACUUUGGCCCCUUCCACUUUAACCCUUGAGCUCAACUUUCUACCACAGCUUCAUAUAGUUACAUUUUACCUCCGGUAACAUUUCCAUGGCCACUGGUCAAUUAUUGGAGAGAGGCUCCAUGUAACUAUUCCUCAUUUUACCCUUGGAAUGACCAUCUUCACCCCUCUUGCCCCACUUCUGCUUAAGCCAAAGCCCCCAUCUCUUUCCAAAGGACCCCUAGCAUCCCAAUGCGUCAUUUCAAACAAAUAGAUGGCAUGCUCAUGUAGGAAAAAUGAGCAACACAUCUACAAGUUGAUUUAUGGUAGAAAUGUAGCCUUGUACAGCAAGUACUAGCUACACACCUGUGCCUGAUCUCAAACUAGGCAUUGUUCCAGUCCUUCCAUGUAUAAGACUGGUAGACAAGGUUUGGCCUCAAUUCCCUUCCUAUAAAAACCACUUUUAACAGCCUUUAGUUUCCUGCUGGAAUGUUAACCUCGUUCAAAACCAAUUCAAACCAGCUCCAUAUAUGUCCAAACUCUGCCAGUGCAUUGUGGCAUGCAUGCGUUGCAUGUUGACACCUUGGCUUGGCCAAGGGGUGGCCCAGGGCACCAAGUGGGGUGGUGACCACCUCCCUGGAGUGCAGAAACGGUGCUCUGCACCUUGUUUCUUCCCUCCCGACUGUUUAUAGCCAAACCAAAAUGUCUCAGUAUGUCUCAGCCCUUCCCCUUGAAAAUUCAAGCCACUUUCCAUCGCCAGCUAGCUUCCAAGCCCUUUCAGGGGUGUGUGGCGGCCAUGCACAGGAAUGCUCCCGAGAGCUCCCGAGCUCUCUCUAUGCCUCUACCUCUCUUAUCUCCUCUCCCCCGAGUCUCUCUUGCUCUCCCUUCCUUAUGCACUUCCAGGGCUCCCCUUUUUGAGCCUUGCUCUCCUCCUCAGCUUCCUCCUCAUCCUACCUCUCCUGUGGUCGAAGCCUUUUGACGGCCUCCAUGUGCUCGACCUGGCCAACCUCCCCUGGCCUCGGGCCUGCUCUCCAGUCGCGUUUCCGCAGCUCCCUGCCGCUGCCCAAGCUCCUUCCCGGGCUCCUUUCCCCCUCCAUUCGGCAGCCGGAGUCCUCUAGUCGCGGCCAACCUCCUACACCGCUGUCGCAGCCGUGUCCCUCUUCCCUGGCGCUCUCCGGUGGAGCUAGCGUCCCUAGAGGGAUGCGGCCUUCAUCCCGCGGCCGUCGGUGGCCGGGCAGCCAUGGGAAACGGCAGGAGCCACCGGGGCGAGAUCUCGCGCGGCUCUGGUCACUCCCCUCUCCCCUCCUGUGCCUCAGGCGAGAGGUAGGGGAAGGGCCUGCCAUCGGGGCCCGCAUGUAAGUGGCUAAGUCCCCGGGCCCCGUGAGAUAAGUGACCGCGCAUUCAUCUCAGGCCGCCUCCCCGCAUGAAAUAUAUAUUCUGUCGAAUGCGCCUUCGGCGUGGCCGCAAGCUUCCUAGGCCGAGCCAGCGGGCCGGCCCAACUUCUGUCCAGCGCCCUGGGCGCAGGAUAGCUCUUGGGGUUGAAGCCCUUUUCCGAUUUUCUCUUUUUGCAGAAUCUUCAAAAUUCCAUAUAAAAUUCAUUUGAACUCCAAUUUGCUUGAUUCAAAUUGUAGCAGGUUCCUAAAAUCAAGGGCUAUCCGAAUAUGUGCUUUGCACAUUUUUCGAAGCAACCUUUCUGUGGUGUUUUUAUUUAAAUCCAAAUCUGGAUAAUUUAAACCCCACCUUGUGAAAUUCCUAGAGAAUCCAAAUCAGCUCGAAAUGGAGUGAUUCCAAUUUUUAGAGACUUAUUAUAUCAUGCCCCAUUUUUGAAGCCUUGGUCAACAUUUUUAUCAGGCUUUAUUCUGUUGCAUUAAAUAAAUAGCUUCCUAUAGCUAUUUAUCUAGUAUUAGAAAAUCCAUAGGAUAUUCAUUCCAACUCCAAAUCCAGUGAAACAACUUCCUAAAUAUUUCUAAAAUUGUUCUCUAUUAAAUGAGUGCCUCCACUCAUUUUUAUCAUAAUAUUUUCUAUGGGCUUAAUAAAGGAUCCCUAUUCCUCCUUUCGUCCAUUCAAAAUUCUCUGAUGAUCCAAAUCUCAUAUGGAAAGCUUCAGGUAUUUUUCUUAUGACCAGAGAGGUCCAAGAAAAAUAUAACUUCUAUUUUUGUAGCACUUUUAUUUUUGCCUGCUGUGUGGCUUACCGUGGUUGUUUCCGACGAUAGUUGACAUCUAGAUGGAAUACUUGGAGAUGGAUUGGAAGACCUCGAAGACCUCGAGGACUUAUGUGAGCAAAGGCAAGCAACCCUUUGACCAUGACUGAGCAUAUGUUAUGAUGCAAGCUAGUGUAGAAAAUAUUUUCGUUGCAUAAGAUCAUAAGUACCGGUAAAUCAUUGAGGUGAUGUUACCGAUGGCUCCUCCGAAGCACAUGCAUUGAGCUUGAGCCUACCACCUAUGAGGGUCAUGCUAAUAUCAUGUUGACAAGUAAAGAUAGAAUAGUAUAGUUAUGAGCAUGAUGAUGACAUAAAUCAAAGGUUUAUGAAAACCCCGUCGGGUGCCACUAAUACCCGAGGGUGAUGAUGAGUUAGGUGGCCACUUUCGAAGAAGUGGUGCACCGGGUAUUUGUGUGUGUAUGGUUUCGGAAAUGGGAUUAAAUUUAUGAUGUGUCGACCGUCCCAACUUUACAUGUACGACCACGUUACCCCCUUUAUGGGAAGGGGCUAUGUUGAUUACUCUGGUCGGUUCUAGCAAAGAGCAACAUUACUACUGGCGGGAGUGAUGUGUGGUCACUCUCGUGAUGUGGUCAUGCCAGGUAGGACGACAAUGCCAUUUUUACGUGUUCCACGCACACCGUUGGUCCCCGCAUGGUUGAUACUGUCCAGAGUCGUUGCUUGUAAGACGUACAACAUGUGGGCUGGGUACCAAUCGAAUGGACCUCUUUGUCUAGUAUCGUCAGGGGAAAGGCAUUGAUCGGGUACUUACCUCACGUAUGUUAUAUACCGCGAGUCGUGGAUGACAAAAACGUUUCCCGGAUGUCGUUGGUCCAUCGUACUACCUCUGUAGAGUGUAAAACUAUUCGAAUUGCCGUGUCCACGGUCAAGGACAGUUGGGUGUUGCUGCUUAAACUACGUCCAUUCGUUUCCGCAUAAACCAAGUGUGUGUGAGUAUGUGCUAAUUAAGUUAAUAUGAAAGAGUUGAUAUGACCAAGUUUGGUGACUUGGCAUAUAGGGUGAACCCGGAGUAUUCAGCCCUCGACAUAUAUAUAUUGGUAUCUGUAACCUAUUCUUCAAAUUCAGCAUUUAGCUUAUGUUGCAUACACAUGAUCAUGUGUAUUACAACAAGUUGUUGUCCACCAAAGAUGCAUAUUAUUGUUAUCCUUCACUUGCAUUGUUCAUAUCAUGGGCUGUUUGCGAAUACAUUCAAAGUACUCAUUGGCUUGCCAUUGGUUAUUUCAUUGACCAAGUAUGAGCGAGCAGGAUAUGUGAAGAGUAACUUGGUGACGUUCUUGCGAGCUAGGACGCUUCCCAGUCAGAAUGUGUGUAGGUUAAGGCCGAUGGCAUGGGUUCACGCUUUCGACCAACAUUUCCACUAUUGGUCCAGUGUGGUGCGGUGGCCUUCUAGGCCCUAUAAGCAUGUAAGGCCAUUUAUUGUAUCAAACGGUAUGUAUGGAUGUAAGACUAUUUAUAUUCAGUAUAUGUGUGUUCGGUGAGCAUUGAUCUGUGGGAUCAUUGAGCAUGGUCAUUCGAUGGUCUCGACUCGUAAGUCGGGGUUCCCAGAAAUCUUCUUAAACUUUACUCCUUACUACAUAUGUAAAGUAUUUACUUUGCGCUCCCAUAUUGGUUGACUAGCAUGUGUAGGGUGCACUAGACUUGUUAGAAUCACUAAAAUCUGCCAACCAUUAAAUUUGGGAAAAGGCUAAGAUUUUAAUUUAUGCAAGUAGUCUAUUCACGCCCCUUCUAGACACCUCUUCUAUUGAUAUCACACUCCAACACAACAUAAGCCAGAUGGAGAAAUAUAAUAACUUCAUGCCAUGAUGAUAUGAUGAUAUGAUGCAAGUGAAAUACAUGAAGCACCAAAUCUGUUUAAAUGAAGCAAGGUUUUCAUGUCAUAGAAGGUUCAACAUGCAACUAAUGCAUGGAUUGCACUUGGGCUAUUACACGUAGGUCUGUGGUGAACUACUCACACAUCACCAUGGGAGCAGCAAAGUUGAUGUAGGGGCCCUCCAUGAUUGAUCCCCCUCUGCCAGGGCAACAGAACAGGGUUCGAGAUGGGCACACAGCGGAACUGAGACUUGCGGCGGCGGGAAGGCUUUUCGGGAGGCUCCUUAGGGAUUUUGGGAUUAUUGAGAAUUUAUAGGACCGGGGGAACCUCGGAGGCCAAGGGAGGUGGACCCAAGCCUUUAGGGAGUGGCCAUCCCGUGGGUGUGUCGUGUUGGCGUGGCACCACCCUCUGGGGCCUCCGGUUUGCUUCCCAAGCUUCGAGGUCCUUAUUUUGUCUAGAAAAAAUCAUCAAAAUGUUUCAGGAUAUUUGGACUUAAUUUGGUACAGUAUUCCUGAAAAUCCAAAAACAUGCACAAAACAACAAUUGGCACUUGGCACUGGGUUAAUAGGUUAGUGCUCAAAAAUAAUAUAAACGAACUAGUAAAUGCCUAAUAAGUAUCCUAGAAUGAUAAUAUAAUAGCAUGGAGCAAUCAAAAAUUAUAGAUAUAUUGGAUACGUAUGAGCAUCCCCAAGCUUAAUUCUUUCUCGUCCUCGAGUAGGUAAAUAAUAAAAAUUGAAUUUUUGAUGUUACAUGCUACCCAACAUGUAAUAUCUUACAUGUAUGAUCAAUGAGAAAUGAUGAUUUAACAAAUAUCAACAUAGUAAUGUCCAUGAAUAUAAGUAACAUAAUCAUCAACAUUAAAAAUAUAUGAUCCUUAAAGAAUGUUUACCCCCCAUUCAUUUUCUCAUAUUAGCAUGGCAUGGAUCCAUGUUUACCACAUAAAUAUAAAUACCAAGCACCACAACAUUAAGCUAGGCAAUUGGAUGAUACUUUUAAUGCGCUUUAACUUUUUAUUACUCACUCAAUACAUGAGUGUGAGGGCUGGCCUGGCGCAAUGGUGAAGUACUCCUCACUUGUGCCAAGAGGUCCUGGGUUCGAACCAGCCUUUCUGCAUUGCACUGUAGCAGGGUUAAGACUAGGUUCCUAUAAUCCAUCCCGAGACCCCACCUUGUGUGGGAGAUUCUAUGCACUAGGUCUGUCCUUUACUCAAUACAUGAGCGUGAACCAUGGACAUACCAUAUAGGUGGAAUAGAAUAUGGUGGUAGGUUUCAAACGGGUAAAAGUGGAGUAGAAGAAGUCUCGCAUCAACUAGGUAGUUCAACGGGCUAUGGAGACGUCCAUCAAUCAAUAUCAAUGCAAGGAGUAGGGAUUUACAUGCAAUGGAUGCACCAGAGCUAUAAGUGUACAAAAGCUCGACCAAAUCUAAGUGGGUGUGCAUCCAACUUGCUUGCUCAUGAAGACCUCGAGCAUUUGAGGAAACCCGUCAUCGGAAUAUACAAGCCACGUUGUGUAAUAAAAAUUGCCACUAGCAUAUGAAAGCGACAACACAAGAGACUCUCUAUUUUAAAUACAUCGUGCUACUUUGAAGUACAAGUGUGAAAAAAGAGGUAGUAUCAUUGUCCCUUCUCUCUUUUAUCUCAUUUUUUUUAUCUUUUAUCUUUAUCUUUUUUCUUUCUUUUCUUUUCUUCCUUUCUUUUAUGCUUCAUCCGAAUUCUCAUCCCGGCUAGUCGGGGAACCAUUCUAUCCAUCAUCAUUUCAUCACCGAGACAGUUCUAUAAUAAUGAAAAGCAUCACUCUUCUAUUUACUCACACCUCGAUAUGAAAAACUACUAAAAAUAUGAACUAUAUGAAUGGCUCUGGUAGAGUACCCGGAUGUGCAAUGAUGUAGCAUAACAUGUAUGAUAAUGAUGAAUCAUGGCUUUGCCACAAAUACUAUAUCAGCUACAUGAGCAUGCAAACCAAUAUGAUAAUAAGUGUACUAGUCGUAGGAUGUGACAAUGGAAGUUGCAUGGCAAUAUAUCUCAGAAUGGCUAUGGAAAUGCCAUGAUAGGUAGGUAUGAUGGCUGUUUGUGUAAGAUAUAAGGUGGCUUAUGUGCAACGGAUCCUAUCAUGUCGCGGGGUUUGGAUGCACAUGCAAAGUUUGCACCGAUCCUCGAGAUGAGAAUGGGCAAUGCACGGUACCAAAGAGGCUAGCAAAUAUGAGGUGGUGAGAGUGCGUAUAUCCAUGGAUUCACAUUAGUCAUAAAGUUCUCACAUACUUAUUGCAAGAUUUUAUUAUCUCUCUUUAAGCGAAGUACUACUCACAUGCCCCUACGGAGGAGGUUGGUAGGAGUUAACCAUCGCGUGCCAUCGACCUAAAAAACACUAGGAUUUCAAUGAGGAAUAAGAAUGCUCACACAUCAUCACGACGCCAUAACCAAUAUUUAGAUGAUAAACAAAUUCAAACCUUUAACUAUCCAUAUUUUGACUAACCAAAAACCAUGCACUCAGACCCUUUCAUAUUACCACAUCAAUAUCAUUAACCCACAAUUUCUCUUUUAUGUGCUACAUCUUAUUUUGGUUAUGCACUCUUUGAAUACCUAUUAUUUUUGGACUAGUGUUAUAACCCAUGCAAAUUACCGUCACGUUUUAUUAACUCUCAAACAAAUAUAUGUGAAGAAUGAGAGUGCAAUUAUUCCUAUAAAAUCUAUAAGCCAUGGUGCUCUAAAAUAUACAAGUGAAGCACUAGAGCAACUGCUGAGCUCAAAAUAUAUAAGUGAAGCACAUAGAGUAUUCUAAAAAUCAUGGUGAAGAUGUGUCUCUCUCAAGUGGAUGUGUCCAGGAAAAAAUGAUUGUGGAAAAUAAAAAAAAAAGCAAACUAUAUUACACGAGCUCCAAGCGAAACUCAUAUCAUGUGAUGGAUAAAAAUAUAGCUCCAAGUGACGUACCGACGGAUUGAGACGAAAGAUGGGUUGCCUUCCGGGGCAUCCCCAAAUUUAGACAAUUGAGUAUUCCUAGAAUUAUACUUGCGGUUCCUUGGUAAUCCCCAAGUUUAUGCUCUUUGCCACUCCGUAUUCCUUCAUCCAUCGUGAGAACACCCGAAACUUGAAAACUUUAGCACACAAUACUCAACAGAAAGCUCGUGAGAUCCGUUAGUAGGAUAGGCAAACCAUAAACAUUAGGUGCUGUUGUAAAUUCAUUCAUAUUUUAAUAUUGCAUAGGGUACUGUAUUCUAACUUCUACAUGACUUAUACCCCCCCCAAUAUAAUCCAUACCAUCAUCAAAACAAGAAAACUAUGCAAGCAAAAACAGAAUAUGUCUAAAACAGAACAAUAUGUAGUGAUAAGCAAAGACAUCCUACUUCUAUACUCCAAAAUUGUGAAAAUUUACGAAAACCUGAGGAAUUUUGUUAGAAAUAAUGUGUAAAACGUUAAUAUCAAAAUGACAUUCCAGUAAAAUCAGAGAAAUUCUACACUAGAGGCAGAAGUUUCUUUUUUUGCACCGUGUUAAUUUUACUCAUCUUUCAAAUCAUCCCAAAGUCUUACUUGGCACAAACACUAACUUAAACAUAAAAACACAAUCAUUAAAGUAGAAAUAAUCAUGUAAUCUCACACAAACAGAGGUAUAACAAUAAAAAUAAUAUAACUAUUGGGUUGCCUCCCAACAAGCGCUGGUGUUUUACGCCCCUAGCUAGGCAUAAUGCAUAGUUUUAAGUGUUGUCAUCUUUGACGCUCCACCCAUAAGUAGCCCUCAUGUCACGCCCAAGAUGCGACCCUAUCCUCAAUUUGGCACGAAGGCCUCGUCAGGGAUAGAANNNNNNNNNNNNNNNNNNNNNNNNNNNNNNNNNNNNNNNNNNNNNNNNNNNNNNNNNNNNNNNNNNNNNNNNNNNNNNNNNNNNNNNNNNNNNNNNNNNNUAGGGCGAAUUCUGCUCUGCUGGGUGUUAAGCUUUUGCUGUUAUUACCUUUGUUGAUCUCCUAUUUUCUUUUGCUCCUGAUGUGAUGGUUUGCAUGUUGGUGGCAUUAGUAGCCGAGCCACAGGGCUUAGGACCCGUUGCUGCAGCUACCGUGGCUUGGGACGACGAGUGAAGCACGACCUUCUGAGGGUUCUGCCCUCCCGAGGUACCUCUUGUGCUGCCGCGUGCUCGGGUGUUGGACUCGUUCCUUGCCGUCGUCGAAUCCUUAGGCCCUGAAUCCUUCGUUAGUGCGCAUGAUUUAAUACACCGUUAGUUUCUCAUAAAGCGAGAGGGUUCAGAUCUGGGCCCGUCAGACACUUAGCUUGCGGAUUUGCGUCGGUCCCUCACGUAGCUCUUCCGGUGCGGCUCCUGUUUCGUAGCAGGACGAGGUGAAGACCCUUUCGGCACUCUAUGUCUGCAGGUCCCAGUCCCGCAUGUUUCCUCGCCGCCGUGAUGUUCAACCCGUUACCAAGGUUGUCCCUCACGGGGCAAAGCCCGGGAACCCUGGGGGGCAGAGAGGCUUUGCGACCAGUAAGGCUCCUGAGGCGCGCUCCUCAGGAUCCCCCUUAACACUCGAGCCGCUGUGCGUCAUUAGGCCCCGACCUUAACGGUCGGUAAGGCUCCUAAGGCGCGCCCAGUAACCCCCUUUCUGCUGCCCGAAUGAUUCCGCACCUAGUCCCUUUGGUCAUUGCCCCAGGGGAGCCCUGAGGCCUCCGGAGGCUCUUUGUGGCGGUAUGAAGUUUUGGUCCGCACCCCCGAGCGGGGGUUGAGCACUGAAAAACGUAGCCCUUGAGGCGAUCAGUCCUUGCAUUCAUGCUCCUUGACUUCUUGGGGUGGCGUGGAGCAUUUGUCUCCAAAUACGUCCUCCGGAAGGGAGGUUUUAAAGCCAGUGAAAUAAGAAACGCCAGAGAAGGUUUUCUGCCCUUUCUUUUUAUUUUUCAAACAUCAUGCAUUAAGACUAGAAAAGACCAACUUAAGAAAUCAUCCAGUUCAAACUCGGUGUAAAAUAGUUCGAAUCUAAGAGAAAGCAAACAAGUGCUGCGUCCGGCGUUUAAAGCUGGCAUAGUCAUUGGCGGACUAUAUGGGUUUCCUUGUCAGCUGCGAGGAUGGUCAUUGGCAGGCCAUGCUGAUUUCCUUCAUCUUCGUACCCAACACGGAGCUAAGGUUUUCCACUAGGCAUGGGGUGGACCCCUUCCGUGUCCUCGGGGGGCCCGGGGCAUAUAAAGCCUCGUCUCAUUAUUAUGUGAGAGUGUCACGGUGGGGGUGUAUAUGGGAGGUCGCGAGGACGAUUUGGCCUCGCGAGUGUCCCUACCCCCGAGGCAUUGGGGCCUGAGCUUCUAGAGUCAUUGGUGGACUGUGUUGUACCCAGCGUGGAGCAUAGGUCUUCCACUAGGCGUGGGGUGGACCCCUUCUGUAUCCUCGGGGGGGCCUGGGCGUAUACAGCCUCGGCUCAUUACUACAUGAGAGUGUCACGGGAUGAAGUAGAUUCCUGUAGGAUUGUAGGAUAACGCAGAGGCGCGAUGGGUUGAUGUAGGUCUUACGUCCUCUCUGCCGGAAUGCCUAUUUACGGGCUUUUUAUGACUCUACGUUGACAGGUCCCAGUCCUGCACAUUUCCCUGUCGUCAUGAGGCGCCUCACAAGGCAAGGCCCCGAUAUCCCCCGAUACCGACCGAGCCUGGACGGCACCAGGGUGGUCAAUUGGCUAUGUUACCGGUAAGGCUCCUGAGGCGCGAUGCUCAGGUGACCUGUUUAACGUUCGAGCGGCUCUAUGUCACUAAGACCCAGUCUCGCAGAUUUCCCAUCCGCCGUUGCAUGAGACCGAUUGAACGGAUGUAGCUACGGGGUCAAGCCCUGCCUCCUCUGAUAACGACCGAAUGUCCGUGGACGAUAUCAAGGGCGGCAGGUGGCCUUGUGACCGGUAAGGCCUCUGAGGCGUGAUGCUCAGGAGUCCCUCUUUGACGUUUAAGCUGCUCUGCGUCGCCAGGACCCGGUCCCGCACAUUUCCCAACUGCUAUUUGCGCGUGACCAAGUGAACGGAUGUAGCUACGGGGUCAAGCCCUCCCACCUCUGAUAACGAAUGCCCGUGGACGAUAUAAAGGGCGACACGUGGGCCUGUGACGGGCAAGGCUCCUGGAACGCCAUACUCCGGAGCCCCCUUGGACGCUCAAGUGACACUGAUUUGAUCAUGUCGACCACGGUCCUGAGGGGCCAUGGGUCUCCCCCAUCCCCAUGUUGGGGCGAUGCGUUGCGGUCGGUGCUCGCUGAAUAGUUGAAGGUGGAUAGCCGAAGGACGCAAGCAAGGCAGCGUGUGAGGUCGACAAGUGGAUGUAACAAAAAUUAUUGCGGAAGUAUGCCACAGGUAGUUGGAGUUCCUGCACUCAGCACACACUCCAUAAGGCAGUAAAUCCAAAAUAUUACCUCGCCGAAUAGUUGAAACCCCCUUGCGCCUCAGGAACGCCUCACGAGGCCUGGCCCCCGACGCCCACGCCAGCAUCUUGGUCGUCGGCGAUGAUCCCUGCCGCUAGUGUCUCGUCACGGUACUCAACUCGUCCUCCUGAGGCCCGUGAGUUUUGCCUCGUGUAGUCCUUCCGCAGGGAAGGUGGCGGGUGCCAUGCCCCGCAGCUUGAGGACGCCCCCUGCCCGGGCCCCUUUUGGGCCCGGCUCAGGGAGGAUCACCCAAAUGUUCUUCACUCCUGAGGUGGGUAGACGCCUCGGGGGACGCCUGAAGCUCUUCCUCGUCAGGAGGAUCAGGCAGUGUCACAUACUCUUGCACGUACAGUUCCAUUUAGGCGCUCGCCCGUCCCCCACGGCCAGCCAUCAGUGCGAUGGUGGAGGCCCCUCUUGGUGGUGGAGGGGAUCCUCCCUGCCAUACUGCUCGGAGAUCUUCCUAUGAUAAGCCUCCGUGCAAAGUUGCUUUUUCCUGUUGCCCCCCUUGGCUGGUCCUGUCGUCGCCUGGUGUUGAUUCCCUUCUUGGUGUCCUGCCAUAUCUGUGUUGUCGUAGUUCGUCUGCGCCAUUGCCACAGCCCUCUGCUGGCUACGCUAGAGGGAACGCUCCUGUCAGGCCGCCACAGGUUGUUGAGGGCCGGCCUGGUCUUGGUGAUGCGUGCCAGCGUGCACGUCGGUCGUCCCGUCGUUCUCCUCGCGUCCCAGGUAGUUGUCAACGUGUUGCGCUUCAGGGCCGGUCGCUAAGGUCUGGAGAAGGUGGAGGGCAGCACGAAGCACGUCUCUCUCGGCCCCGCCCAGAACGGGCAGGGCCCCGAAGCUUGCAGGCUCGAGGGCCGCACACGGUGCGAACCCCUGGCGCCUGGCGCCUGUGGCUCCGAGGAUGCACCGGGCUGGAUGGCCUUCUGGGCGAUGGCGAUUAGCUCCAUGAUGUGGUCCACCCAGAUGUCGAAGCCCCCUGGUGUCGGUCGUUGGCAGAGCAUCUCUCUUGUCAUCCGAAACACGUCAUGCGCGCUAAGGUCUCCCAAGUUGAUGCAGCGCACUGCGGGUGCACGGGUUCCCACCCAGCCCCAUGUGCCUGGGUGGCAUGGGUGGCUGUUACCAUGGAGACGAUGUUGAUGUCAUGGUACAAGUCGCCUGGUCCCGCGACGCCGGUAUGCGAGCCUGAAACCGCUGUGACAUGGCGGUCGGAGACCAGCUCGACGAGGCUCCGAGAAGCUGGUUGGUCGUUGGCAAUCGGUGCUGAGGAAGGAGAAAGCUGGGAGAAAGCCUUCACACACCCCUAACUGGCGCGCCAAAUUUCGGAUUUCGGGCUCCCUAAAACCCUAGGAUUCGCACACAGGGGCGUGUUCGGCGAUCUUUCUUGUCUCGACCAUACCUGCCCCGCUACUCGAUGGAGAUGACAAAGAACUCACACGAUGGUGAAGAGAACACGAAACACAACAAUUUACCCAGGUUCGGGCCGCUGCGAAGCAUAAAACCCUACUGUUGCUUUGGAUGGAUUGUCUCUCAUGGAGGUUGGUGGAUGAACUAGUAGAGUGCUUUCGAGCCUCUAGAGGCCAAGUGGUUAGGUAUGAUGCUCUAGGGUUUCCAUGAUCUGCCCCCCUGCCAAGUAUCCUACCCUCUCUAUUUAUAGUGGAGGAUCGGGUCCUCUUCCCUUGUCGUAGGAGGGAAGGGAUCCUACAACGGUCAGCUUCAGUGGGGGACAAGGGAACAUGCUUCCCUGCCAAAAGUGGUCUUCGCCUGCAAAGCAACUGCCAGCGUCGCAGAGGUGGGCACAGGGAUGACAUUCGUCGUGCCGGUGGGCGCCCAUGGUCUUGUUGCACCAGAAGGGAAACCUUUGGGAGAUGCCUUUGGGACCCUAAUACAUUCCUUCCUCAUUUGCACCAAAGAGGAAACUGCCCCGUCCUGCCAUCUACUGCUCGCAUGUCCUUCGAUGGCGUCACCCUUGACUACUCAGGCUCGGAUUGCCUUGAUAUAUGCGUCGCUCCGGAGGGGCCCUGGGGAGGCCCCCUGCGGGUCUUGACGAUGCUCCUCCUCGUGAGGCUUGGCUCCUCACGAGGGGCUUUUUCUGGGUGGUGCUUCUCCUUGCUGAUCUUUCGCUGAUAGAGUGCGAUCUUUUGCCGAACGCAGGCAGGUGUGGCUACCCCCGUUCCUAGAACCCUGACAACCUAUGCCUCGGGGGUAGGCACACUCGCGAGGCCAAAGCGUCCUCGCGACCUCCCAUAUACACCCCCACCGUGACACUCCCACGUAAUAACGAGCCGAGGCUGUAUAAACCCAGGGGCCCCCGAGGACAUGGAGAGGUCCAUCCCACGCCUAGUGGAAGCCCUACGCUCCAUGCUGGGGAGAAGACAAAGGCAAUCAACAUAGUCCUCCAUUGACUAUAACCGCAACUCGCAAGGAAAGCCAUAUAGUCCAGCAAUGACUAUGCCAGCCAGAGUGUUGGACGCGACGUCUCCUCGCUUUUCUUGGGUUUUGAACCAUUCUUCGCUGAACUUAAACUUGUCAGAUCCAAAAGUUGUAUCCUGAUUCUUAGUGCCCUACGUUUGAAAAAGAAAAAGGGGGGAAAACUUUCUCUGGCGCUUUCUUAUUUCACUGGCUUUAAAACCUCCCGUCCGGAGGACGUGUUCGGAAAUGAACGUUCCGCACCGCCCUUAGAAGUCAAGGAGCAUGAAAGCAAGGACUUGACACCCAGGGGCAAACAUUUUUAGUAGUAAACCCCCGUUCGGGGGUCAGGACCGAAACUUGAUACCACCACAAAGAGUCUCGGAAGGCCUCAGGCCCCCCUUGGGCGAUGAACAAAGGAACAGAGUGCGGAAUCGCUCGAGCACCAGAAAGGGGGGUCCUGGGCAUGCCUCAGGAGCCUUACUGGUCAUAAUGCCACUCGCCACUAUUGGCACCGUCCGGGAGCCCUGGUCGGCGUCAGGAAUGGCGGGGCCCCGCCCUGUGAAGUGUGAGCCUAAUGGCGGUGGGGAGCUGUGCGGGGCUGGGUCCUGACGACACAAAGCGGCUUGCGUGUCAAGGGGGGCUCCUGAGCAGCACGCCUAAGGAUCCUUACCGGUCACAAGGCCACCUGGGCUUCGGGUCACGGCCUUGCCCUGCGGGGGACAACCUAGGUAACGGGUUGCGCCUUACGGAGGCAGGGAAAAGCGCGGGACUAGGACCCACAGAUAUAGAGUGCCAAAAGGGUCUUCACCCCGUCCAACCUAUGAAAGAGGAGCUAUACAAGAGAGACUACGCAAGGGACCGACACAAACCUACGAGCUAAGUACCCCGCAGGCCCGGACUGGAACCUUCUUGUCUUAUGUCAAACUAACAAUGAAUUAUGGACAUGUAAGCUAACCAAGGAAUGCAUAGCCUAAGGUUCAGCGACGGCAUGGAUGAAGGCCAUCGACCGAACGUGCGGCGGCACGAGCGACGCCUCGGGAGGACAUCACCUCCUGAGGGUCCCGGCCCUCGUCAUCCCCAAGUGAUAGCUGUGGCAAUGACAGACCCUAAACCUCGAAGCCAAGCCAUGACGACCACCGAUGAUGAAGCCGGGACAAAAGAAAACGGCAAAGGGGGAGGAGAUGAAAGCUGAGGAUGCCUAAGGGGAGGGGCUACCGACGUCACCCACGACGCCAGCAGGCUCGGCGUCAGGGCCCUCCUCCUCGCUCGAUGCGGGCAACUGGACAUACCGCUCCACCAAGACGUCCACACGCGAGCGGUCUUCGUCCCAGAGAAUACGUCGGGACGCGGCGAGUACAAGUUCGGCCAUGCGCUGGAGAUCGAGCUCCGGAGCGAGGCAGCCCAGAAGGUCGCACGCGUCGGCUGUGAUGUCCUCCUCCAUGCGGGAGGCGCCGGUCGCGAGCAUCUCCACCACCCUCUGGAAGAAGGCAAGAUAGCCCCCGUCGCUCAUCACGUUGAGCAGCGCUGGGGCCUCUCGCACAAUUCGACGCAUCGCGUCGACCGCACGGCCGGCGAUGCCGGGGAACUCCUUGGCGCGCUGGUACGCCAUUGCUCGGGCAUAUGACGCCUUGUCCUUGGCGGCCAGGACGGCGUCGGUCGCCUCCUAGACUUGCUUCUAUAGCAAUGCCAAUUCCGCCUUCGCCUUCGCUUCGUCCCCGCGGGCGGCCAGGAGGGCGGUUUCAGCAGUCGCGAGCUAGGCCCGCAGACCAUGCGCCUCCUCCUCAAGCUCUCCGAGCUUGGGAUUCUUGGAGGAGGGCGUGCUGGAUAAGAUAGGAAAUCAUCCACCAAGUUGCAGAAGAGGCGACAAGUAAAGGAAAUCCAAACAAGGGGCUUACUCGCUGGCCAGAGCCCAGUGAUGACGGAGGGCCCCCCGCCGCUGCCUCCGGGAGCAGACGGAGGCGUCGGAGGUGCCGCACGCUUCCCCCGACCGAGACUAUCACCGGGGGACACCAUGAAGACAAGGAAGAAAGGCAAGAGGAGGUUUUCUCGCGGCGAGAAGAGGAAGCAGAGAAGGAGCUUGAGAUUGCAUUGCCUCCCCCCUAGUGGGGGCGGGGCAGAUUUAUAGGCGAGUCACGGCCAACAACAGUCAUGGAAGUGCGAGCGUCNNNNNNNNNNNNNNNNNNNNNNNNNNNNNNNNNNNNNNNNNNNNNNNNNNNNNNNNNNNNNNNNNNNNNNNNNNNNNNNNNNNNNNNNNNNNNNNNNNNNNNNNNNNNNNNNNNNNNNNNNNNNNNNNCUCGUGUGCCUUACGACGGUCGUGAGGUGGGCCGAUGGGAGAGCUGCCGCCCACAUCGGCUCAUCUGUCCACCGAGCGGUCACGUACGCGAAGGCCGUUGGGAGUGCUCAGGCCGCACCUAUGGCAUUCAAUGGGAUCAAUGAUGGCAUGCACGGUUCUAGGAGAUCGUGGCGUCGUGGCCUAGCAUACCCCAGACGCCUCGAGGAUGCCUCGAGGAGCGAGAACGUCGCCACAUGGCUGCUGGACACGUGUGUCGCCUGGCCCGCAUGCAAAUAGGGUCCGCGACGCUUCAAGCCACCCUCCAGGCUUCGCUAAGAAGCCAACCACGGCGCGCCUUGGGCCCGGGGGCUAUUGUGAGCGUUCUGGGAAUGGGGGUACCCAGACCUGCCUGCNNNNNNNNNNNNNNNNNNNNNNNNNNNNNNNNNNNNNNNNNNNNNNNNNNNNNNNNNNNNNNNNNNNNNNNNNNNNNNNNNNNNNNNNNNNNNNNNNNNNNNNNNNNNNNNNNNNNNUACCCAGACCUGCCUGCCUACGGUCCAGGGCUGCCCCACUUCACAGACCUAAAACCAAUGGGUCCGUCGUCACUCAGGACAAGGCCCUCGCUAGGGGCCAAGCCUCAUGAGGACGAGAAGCAUCAAGACCCGCAACGGCCUGCUCAGGACCCCUCCGGAGCGGCAGAUAUUCCGAGGCGAGGCCCAGCCUCAGGAGUCAAAGGUGACGCAAAGGAAGGACAGGCGAGCAGCAGACAGCAGAGCGAAGCAGUUUCCCCUUUGGUGCAAAGGGAGCAAGAACGAACGCAGGUUCCCAAAACAUCUCCUUAAGGUUUCCAUUCUGGUGCAACAAGACCCUGGCCGCCCGCCGGCAGGACAGACGUCAUCCCUGGGCCAGCCCCUGCAACGCUGGCAGCUACUUUGCACACGAAGAUCACCUUUGGGCAGGGGAGCUUGUUCCCGUGUUCCCCUUCAAAAUUGGCCAUUUUGGGAUCCCUUCCCGCCGAAGGGAUAAAGGGAAGAGGACCGGGGCCGCCACUAUAAAUAGAGGAUUGAUUGCUUUGUAGAAAGGAUCCGAUCCCCGAACCACUUAUUCACCCACUAGCACUCCACAAGGUUUUCCAGCCUCCGGAGGCGCCCAAGCACUGUACUAGUUCAUCCACCAACCUCCAAGAGAGGCAAUCCACCAAAGCAGGAGNNNNNNNNNNNNNNNNNNNNNNNNNNNNNNNNNNNNNNNNNNNNNNNNNNNNNNNNNNNNNNNNNNNNNNNNNNNNNNNNNNNNNNNNNNNNNNNNNNNNNNNNNNNNNNNNNAUCCACCAAAGCAGGAGUAGGGUUUUACGCUUCAGAGCGGCCCAAGCUGGGUAAACUGUUGUGUCGUGUGUUUCCCUCACCAUCGAGUGAGUUCGCCGCCGUUCCCAUCGAGUAGAGAGCUCGGCGAGGUUUGGCCGCGAGAGAUCUUCACACAUGCCCCUGAGUUCGAAUUCUUAUGGUUUUGCGAAGCCAGAAAUCUGACAACUUCUUCUUCGGGAGUGAGGCAGGGUAUCUGCUGCCUGAGGAGGCGUGAAGGGACAAGCUUUCGCUGGAGCCCCCAAGUGGGGGGGGGNNNNNNNNNNNNNNNNNNNNNNNNNNNNNNNNNNNNNNNNNNNNNNNNNNNNNNNNNNNNNNNNNNNNNNNNNNNNNNNNNNNNNNNNNNNNNNNNNNNNNNNNNNNNNNNNNNNNNNNNNNNUAGGGGGGGGGGGGGGGUGGGGGGCGACCGCACAAAAGUACAUGCAAGGUAGAACGUUAGGGUUCGAAAUGGAUGAGAUAGAAACAACUGAAGGAUGUGUAAAGGGCAGUAGCGGCUGGGGAGUGUCCUAAGCUCCACGAGCCCGCCUGGCCCUGGGGGCGCCCUCGGACAGGGUGAGCCAAAAAGUUACCUGGAACCAACCAACAAAAAGUUACCUGGCAGCCAGGCCGUUGAAGUGCCUAAAGCGCCAUCGCCGCCCGAUCUCCUGCUUCGACGGUCACGACCCUCUCGGAUCUGCCGUCUCCCGAGGCUCGGGGACUUCGCUCUGCCCGAGCAUCUCCUCCUCUUCCUCGCCACGCCCCAGCAGGCCAGGCAUGAGCAUGGCCCGCUGGAGCCGCUGGUAGGUGGCAGCCGUGUUCCCCCGCCACUGAUGGUUAGUUAGCGCGGCUCAGAAGGGGCCUUGAGCCGCGGCUCUGUCGGUUGCGAGCGCGUUGAUGCAGAUACGGGGUCGGUUGGCCGUGCCGACGACCUUGACUGCAAUUGGUGGUGCAGCGCAGUCCCCGCCUCGCACGACCUGGGCCUCUCGAAGCUCUCGGAUUGCUCUCAUGACAGACUCACGGGAGCUUGGCAGACGCGCGCCGGAGCUCAACCUCGGGUUGUGCUCGAGCACCACCCUCGCCUCACUGGUCAGGCCAGGGACCUCCCCAAUGGGAGCCCCAACCCUGAACCAAGGGGGGCGUUGAGCGAGCCUUCAUAUGCGAUGGGAGGCAUUGCCCUGUCCCCCGAAAUGGAGCCCGAAGCCCCAGGGCGCUCUGUGGGGAGGAGUUCCUUCUUCUUCUUACGUGGGUCCUCGCGAGGCGGCUCGUCUUCUUCCUCAUUCCAGCGCUCCACUGCCGCUGCGCGGUAGGCGCGCUCGAGUGUGCAUACGACAUCCUUCUCCUCGCAGGCGAUGGUGAUGACGCCACCGCUCCAUGGCAUCUUGUGGACGGUGUAGCCAUGGUGGGUCACUGUCAUGAACUUGGCAAGAGCCGGGUACCCAAGGAUCGCGUUGUACGGCCGGUCGAUUUGCGCGACGUCGAAGACGAUGAUCUCAGUGUGGUAGUUCUUGCGCUCCCCGUAGGCGACUCGUUGUUGCACCUGCCUGAUGGGCACGGUGGACCCCUCCGUGACUCCUGAGAAGGGCUUGGUCGGCAUGAGCUCUUCGUAUGGCAGCUGGAGUUUCUCGAAGGUCUCGACCGACAGGACGUUGAGCCAUGCUCCACUAUCGAGAAGGGUCUUGGUGACGAGGACGUUGUUGAUUGUCGGGGUGCACAUCAUGCUGAUUGUCCUGCGUGUCUUUGUCCCUCCUUCUGGGUAGUGGAGGCAGCGGGGGCAGCCCAGGCUCACGAGGGCGAACCUCACGAGGUUGAGCAUGUCGCCGCCCCUCCUGAGGGUUGUCGCGCCAGCGGUCGUCCCGAGUCUGGUCGCGCCAAGGGUCCUCCUGAGGGUGGCUGCAUCAAUGGUCUUCCUGAGGCUGUUGACGCCACCCCUGAUCGGGCUCCCGGUCAUCGCAGCGGCCUCCACUACAGACAUUUCCGCACGCGGGACCUCUCUCGACCCGUCUGGAGCACCUGCUGAAGUGCUUGGCACAGACUAGGCGGAGCUCUUGCCACUCAGAGGUAUCAUGGUUGCUGGUGCCAUGGAAGAUGUACGUUGGCCCCCUCGGCCAUACUUCGCCUCAGGCUCGGCUGUGAGCACAACAGGUGCCUUGCGCUUCGCCUCCUUGGCCAUGGCCUUCUUCUCUUCUGGUUCUGCCGCCUGAGGCCUGAGGAGUGGCAGGCGACCUUCUUCAGCCCUAGCACACAUGUUUGCCAGGUUGAACAUUUCCAGAGCAGUGCUCAUUUCAUUACUCGUGGUCUAGGAAAUGCCGUGCUGGGAGUGCGUGUGCGUCGGUGCGUGGUCGAGGAACUACCUGACAGCUCGCUUCGUCUACAGGCCUCGCCCUGGGCUCGCAAGGUUGGUCGCGGGGAUGCGCCUACUUCCUGGGCUCGGGACGCACGUCUCGCCGCAGUGGACAGGGUGGCGCAUCUUGCUCCUUGUCCUUUGCUUGGGACGGUUGGGGUCGAAGCGAAUAGGAGAGCGCUGCAGAGUCGCCGGCGGCAGAGACAAGCUCCUUGAUGCGCUGGCGCCAGUCGUUGUGGCGGACAGGGGCGGGCCGGUAGUGGAGCAGCUCGGUGGCAAUGGCAAGGGCGCGUCGGCCGUGUGGCAUCUCCAGUCGGGCGUGCAAGGCCGACCUGGAAGCCCGUACGAGUAACGGAGUGGCGGUGCGGCCGCCUGGUGCUUACUAGCAGGCUGGGAGGAACCCUGCUGUUCUUGAGCGUUGGGGCCCGUGGCGGCGUUCACCACGGGUGAUGGUGACCAGCGCGCGUCGGCGGGUCCUGCAGGCGCCAUCUGAGCGACGCGAGUGGCGUGGCGUUCGGCGCGAGCCCGAUGAGCGUCAGCCAUCGGAGAAGCGAAGCUUGGUGAAGGCGGAACUUGGAGGAAACCUUGACACGCCCCCUACCUGGCGCGCCAAAUGUCGGAUUUCGGGCUCCGCAAAACCCUAAGGAUUCUAACUCAGGGGUGUCUACGAAGAUCUCUCCCGGGCUCGCCUCACCUAGCUCGCUACUCGUCGGGGAUGGCAAGGAACUCACUCGAGGCUGAUGAAGACACUGAACACUGCAGUUUACCUAGGUUCGGGCCGUUGGGAAUCAUAAUACCCUGCUCCUGCUUUGGUGGAUUGCCUCUCUUGGAGGUGGGUUGAUGAACUAGUACAAUGCUCAGGAGCCUCCGGAGGCUGGGUGGCAUUGCGUGGUGCUAGUGGGUGAACGAAUGAAUUGGGGUCCUCCUCUAAGAAGCAACCUAUCCUCUAUCUAUAGUGGCAGCCCCGGUCCUCUUCACUUAUUGUUUCGGCAGGAAGGGAUCCCACAGUGGCCAAUUUUUAAGGGGAACAGGGGAACAUGCUCCUCUGCCGAAAGGUGGUCUUCGCCUGCAAAGUCGCUGCCCGCGCUACAGGGACGGGCCCGGGGAUGAUGUCUGCCCUGCCGGCAGGCGGCGACGGCCUUGUUGCACCACAAAGGAAACCUUUCGAAGAUGCCUCGGGAACCCCGGUACGUCCAUGCCCCCCUUUGCACUAAAGGGGAAGCUGCACCGCCCUACUGUUUGCUGUCCGCCUGUCCUUCCUCUGCGUCAUCCUUGACUCCUAAGGCCGAGCCUCGCCUCGAAAUAUCUGCCACUCCAGAGGGACCUGAGGAGGCCCCCUACGGGUCUUCAUGUCGUUCCUCCUCGUGAGGCUUGGCCCCUCGUGAGGGUCUUGUCUUGGGUGGUGUCGCGCUCGAUUGUGUUCGCUUGACGAAGUGGGCCAACCCUAGGCCACAGGCAGGCAGGUCUGGGUAGCACCAUUCCCACAACACCAACACGCUGGUCAACUGUAGUAAUGACCGUGACAAGGUUUUGUAUGCCUCUCACUGUCUCGGGGGCACCAACACGGCUUGGUCGGACGUAUUCAAGAUCAUGUAGGGUGAGCGUGUUAUCACCUGGACUGCCUUCAAGGAAGGAUUCUGUGCUGCCCACAUUUCCCGUGGGAUGAUGGCUAUCAAGAAGCGGGAGUUCCAUGCGCUGAAGGAAGGCAGUGGCUCAGUCCAGGAAUAGCUGCAGAAGUUUAACCUUUUCUUGAGGUAUGCACCAGAUUAUGUCAGCACUGAGGCCGCAAAGGUUGAGUGCUUCAUGGAAGGACUUCAGUAGUCACUCCAAUACCAUCUUGUUGUCUAUGACUGCCGAACCUUGUCUGAUCUGUUGAAUAAGCCUCUCAUGCUUGAAGACAACCGCUGUGCUAUGGAAGAAACUCGCAAGCGCAAGUUGAUUGGCAACGGUGGUUCCAGCAACCAGAAGGCUCGUCCGUGGCAAUCAGCUCCGGCGAGGCCCAACUAUCAGCACCAGCACCACAGGGCUCAUGUACCUUUGACCAUGCUACCAGCCUAGGCCGUAUGCCAACCUCAAGCCGGUAUACAACCCUCCUAGAAACAACAAUGGAGGCAAGAUAAACAACCCCGGGCAGGUCACCUACUUUGGGUGUGGCCAACCUGGCCACUUCUCAAGGCAGUACCCCAAUAAGAAGCCCGACGCAUCGCGCCCCAAUGCGCCAAAUCAAGGAAAAUGUCAUGGAGCACCAAACAGGAACCAAGCUCCCCGCAACCCGCACUGCAACAGCAGGGGAUGCGUGAAUCACGUCCCCGUAGAAGAAGCCCGCGAAGACCCGGACUGCAUACUGGGUACAUUCCUAAUCAAAUAAACUCCAGCAACAGUAUUUUUUGAUUGUGGUGCCCCGCAUUCUUUUGUCACCCAAAAGUUUGCCAUGAAGAGUGGCUUGAAACCUACAUCCCCGAAUGGUCAAAUGGUGGUACAAACCCAGGAUGCAGUAUUAAGGACCAAUAUAGGGUGUAGGGGAGUUGGAGUCAAUAUUAACGGGGUAGACUUUGUAGCGGACCUUCGCGUACUUAAGUCGCAAGGCUUGGACGUGAUCCUUGGUAUGGAUUGGUUAGCCAAGCACCAAAGCAUAUUGGACUAUGCCAAGAGAGACAUCACCAUGACCAGUGAUCAAGGAGUCGCAAUCAAGUAUAUUUCUGAACCUCCCUCCACCCAAGCCCCUCAGGUUAAUUGCCUUUCGGGAUCGAGUUGGAUCAGGUGCCGGUGGUAUGCGAGUACAUGUACGUGUUUCCUGAUGAACUGCCCGGGAUGCCUCCCGACCAAGAAACCGAGCUCAUGAUUGAGCUCAUGCCCGGAUCAAGGCUUAUCUAUAAAAAGCCAUACAAAAUGGGAUCUCAGGAACUAGCAAAGUUGAAGAAGCAACUGGGCGAGAAGCUCCGGAAGGGAUUUAUUCGCCCUAGUGCCUCUCCUUGGGGAUCACCUGUUCUAUUCAUGUCCAAAAAGGACAGGACCAUCAUGCUCUGUGUUGACUACUGUUCCCUUAACAAGGUCUCAAUAAAUAACAAGAACACGCUCCCCAAGACUGAAGACAUGUUUCAUUAGUUGAAUGGUGCCAAGGUAUUCUAUAAGAUUGACCAAAAGUCUAGUACUACUAACUAAAAAUCCGGCUCGGAGACAUACCAAAGACGACAUUCGUUACCAGGUAUGGCAUGUACGAGUGUAGGGUCAUGUCGUUUGGGCUGACCAAUGCCCUAGCCUACUUCAUGUAUCUCAUGAACAAAGUCUUCAUGGAGUAUCUGGACAAUUUUUUCGUUGUCUUCAUUGAUGACAAACUCAUUUUCUCCAUAUCCGAAGAAUAGCAUGAGCAACACUUGAGGAUGGUAUUAGAAAAACUUCAGGAACACCAACUCUACGCCAAAUUCAGCAAAUGCGAAUUUUGGCUGCACGAAGUUGGAUUCUUGGGUCAUACGAUGACGGCAGAUGAGUUGGCAGUCAACCCCACCAAAAUUACUGCAAUAACAAAGUGGAGGUCACCAACCAAAGUGAAGGAAGUCAGAAGCUUCCUUAGACUCACGGUAUAUUACAAAAAGUUCAUAGAAGGAUUCUCCAGCAUCGCCCAACCAAUGACUCAACUCUUGACGAAGGGCAAGAAGUUUGAAUGGAUACAGAAGUGUGAAGAAUGCAUCCAAAAACUAAAGAAGAGAUUGACGACCGCCCAGUCCCAGCCACUUUUGAUAUUAACAAGGAGUAUGUGAUAUACUGCGAUGCAUCAAGGACUCGGCUCCAUGGUGUCCUCAUGCAAGAAGGCAAAGUUGUGGCUUAUCUAUCACGGCAACUAUUCCCUCAUGACGAGAACUACGCCACUCACGACCUUGAGAUGGCGGCAAUGGUUCAUGCCUUCAAGACGUGGCGACACUACCUUUUGGGGAAGCAAUGGGAGAUAUACACUGACCACAUGAGUUUGAAGUAUAUUUUCACUCAGAAGGAAUUGAAUAUGAGGCAACAGAGAUGGUUGGAAUUAAUUAAAGAUUAUGACCUCAGUAUUCAAUACCACCCCGGAAAGGCCAAUGUGGUAGCGGACGCAUUGAACCGAAAGGCUUGCACCCUGAAUGCUAUGAUCAAGGAAAGGUUGUCUGCCUUAUAUAAGGAACUUGAGAGCUUCGGGUUGGAGCUACAGUAACCGGGAUUCCUAGCAAACCUCGAGGCAAGGCCUACGCUAAUGGAAGACAUUAAGGAGGCCCAGAAGGGACAUGAGAUCAUCGAGGGUAUCAAGAGGAAGAUCAAGGAAAACAAGGCCCCAUGAAUAUCAAUGGAUAAGCAAGGAGUUGUAUGAUUUGGGAAUCGCAUUUGCAUACACAACAAGCCGGAUCUCAAGAAUCUGAUCUUGCAAGAAGCACACAACACUCCAAAAUCCAUUCACCCUGGAGGAACAAAGAUGUACCAAGACCUCAAGGAAAGGUUCUCAUAGCACGGCAUGAAAAGGUAAAUAGCUUCUUAUGUCACUAGGUGCGACGUAUGCCAGAGGGUGAAAGUUGAGCAUCAGCGACCUGCUGGACUGCUACAACCUCUCCAAGUGCCUAAAUGGAAGUGGGAUAAUGUCGGUAUGGACUUCAUAACGGGCCUGCCUAGGUCCAACAAUGGACAUCACUCCAUUUGGGUCAUUGUCGACCAGUUGACCAAGGUGGCCCACUACCUUUCCCGUCAGUACCAAGUAUGACGGUAGCAAACUAGCCAGUCUCUACACCGAGCAUAUUAUGAGCCUCCACGGAGUUACAAAGGAGAUCGUGUCCGAUCGAGGCACAAAGGUCACCUCAAGGUUUUGGAAGAAAUUUCAAGAAGCCAUGGGAACUAAGCUCUCCUUCAGCACCGCCUUUCACCCUAAGACAGACCGACAAACGGAACGAGUAAACCAGAUACUCGAUGAUAUUCUCCAUGCUUGCGUUUUGGCGUAUGGAGCCAAAUUGGAGGACUAUUUACCAUUCGCCGAGUUAUCUUACAACAACAGCUACCAGUCCAGCCUCCAGAUGACACCAUUUGAGGUGUUGUAUGGAUGCAAGUGUCGCACCCCCCUCAACUGGUCCGAGAUCGGAGAGGGAUUGGUCUUUGGACCCGACGUUCUUCGCGAAGCUGAAAAGCAAGUCCAACUUGUCAAGGAACGUUAGCAUACCGCCAAGUCACGGCAGAAGAGUUACAUGGAUACCCACCGUCGAGAAGUGGAUUUCCAUGUUGGAGACUAUGCCUAUCUCCGGGUCACGCCUCUCAAGGGAAUCAAGUGCUUUCAUGUCAAGGGGAAGCUCGUGCCAACAUACAUCGGACCCUUCAAGGUCACUACAAAACAAGGGGAAGUUACUUACCAGUUGGAGCUUCCUUCCAAACUUUUAGGUGUGCACAACGUCUUUCACGUGUCACUACUCUGAAAGUGCCUCCAGGCUCCCAACCGUCCGGAUCUCUAUAUGGACAUCGAUCAUCAAGCCAUCGACCUUCAGCCAGACCUUACUUAUUAUGAGAGACCGAUCCGCAUCCGGGAUGAAGCCGAACGUCACACCCGAAGCCACAUCAUCAAGCACUUCAAGGUCCAAUGGAGUAACCACACCGAGGAAUACUGAACAUGGGAGCGUGAAGACUACCUUAGAUCCGAGUUUCUGUAUCUUUUUAGUGCUUAUCCUAGGAAUCUCGGGGACGAGAUUCUUGUAAGGGGGGUAGGUGUGUCACACCCUGUGUUUGUACCACCUUGUCACUAUUAAUUUUCUUUUUCAAAAUUUGGAGUCAAUUAAAACUACUUAAGUGAUUGCUAUAAUUGUCUUGAUUCCCAUUGCUUGUGUGCUAGCUUGUGUUUAGCUCACCGAAACAACUUUUCCUCUAAGGACUUCUACCUUUGACUCCAAACCCUUGCCCAAUGAUCAUGCCAUGGGUGUAGUACCAAAAACCAUUUUUAUAAAAUAUUAAUCCAACAAAACCCCUUUUUCUUAUUUUUAAGUUCCAAAACCCCUGGAUUGGAAGUUUUUCUACAAGUCAAUAAUUCAACGGAAAUUUUUGGGCUGAAUGGUUUUCUCUUGAUUCUAUUAGUAAAAUAACUUCUCAAAACCCUAAAGUAAUUAUUUUCAAAGUAAUUUUCCUAUAUUACUUAACUAACAUUUUUUUAGGCCAGAAAUUGUAUUUUAUAGGGAAGAAUUAUUUUUCUACUUUAGAAAAUUCUAAGAAAAAUUAGGGAAACUCAGAGGACAUAUAUUUUCCAUAUGUGUGAGUUUGAACCAAUGGUGAUGUUCAAAAUAUUGGACAAAUCCCUUCAAAAUCAUUUCUGUCUAUUCUUUUAUUUUGAAAUAUUUCCAAAUGAAAUACUCUCAAUAAAUUCCAAGAAAAUUCCAGCAUGUCCCACAUACUAUAUGUAAUGGCAAUACCAAGUUUCAUCUCCAUCCAAGAAGGUUUGGUUCACCUAAUAAUUUAGAAAACCUUUCUGUCCAUAGCCAAGUUGGAACAACUCCACGUUGCCAAGUUUGUCCAAUUGAUCCUGAACUUUGCAGGAGUGUUCAAAACCCCCAAAUGAAUAGGGCAUGCCAGGUUUUGCAUUUGUGGGUGUUGAUUUGAUCACACUUGCCCAUGGGAUUUUAAUUCUAUCCAUUUCUGGGUUUUCCAAGUCUACAUGGUCAGCCUAGCUCAAAUGAGCUCAAACUUGGUAAACCUGGUUAUUUUUGCCCAUCAUCCAGUCCUGUUAAGUUUCACUGCAUUUGGAGAAGAUUAGCUCCUCCAAACCAACAUCAAACACCUUGUGCUGAUUUUGCAAAUCAGCCACAAACACCCCUUCCACCCCACUCCUUCACUACUAAUCAACAUCACAUGUUGCCUGUGUAACCCCAUACGUGCAGCCGAGAGCCUCAUCUCGGGUUCAAAGGGAGCAAUACAGAAUCUUCAUUCUACAUUCUCCAUUCACUCUGAUAGCACCUAUUCUUCACUCUCUCUUUGAAACACAUUAUUCUCCUCGGUGCCAAAGCCUCAUGAGAGCAUCUCCCUAACCCUGAGGUAUUUCUAGACACGCCCUAGACACGCCGGAGCGCUCCAACAUGCCAUGGCAUGCCAAAACUACGCUCUCGACGUGCCAUAGAGCACGCCUGUAUCAAGGGAGGCCAGGCCCGGCCAGGCUUCGCUCCCACAGCUUGUCCAAAAGCUACUAAAACAAUGGACGACACAAGUGCGGCACAGGACCCCUCCUUUCUCCCCUUUCUCCUGCCCUGGUGAUCUGUGCCCGCGCACGCCCAAGCUCGUCAGGCGGAGCUUGCGAUCGCGGCGCGUCAAAGGUGAGGCCCGCUCCCCUUUGACCCUUUCAGCUCGCAUAGGCAUCGCCUACGAAGACCUCAGAUAGAUUCCAGGACCCUCUCUCCCUCGCUAGCUAUUCUUGCAACCUCGACGGUGCACCACCACUCCAUGGACCGUGGCGCCCCUAUAAAUAGGCCUCCCCAGGUCCUCUCCAACCCCCUUCGACCUCAGUCACCCAUCCAAUCGCCUCCCCGAGCCCCCAACCGAGCUAUCUGUGCACCACUGCUCGAGAUCGACCGAGGCAUCGCCGAGUCGGAGCUGAGUUGAUCUCGGGACAUAGGCCUGCUCCAACACUCAUUUAGCCCCCAUUGUGACCACACUAGACUGCUUCUUCACCUCUGCCUCUUCCCGAGUAUUUUCCUCUCUGUGAACAUCGUCGCCAUCCACCUCCCGAAAGCAUCUGCCACGGCUAGAUCGUCGUCGGUGACUCGAGCUACCUCAGCCUCACCCUCGACCUCCACCCGAAUGGUGGGAGUGUAGAGAACCUAUUCCCGCACUCACCCUUCUCACCAUCGCAUGUGCUGCUGAUGACCAGAUGAUGUAUAUACUUCUCGUACCCUGUUGGUUACCCCAAGUGGAAGGUUGAGAUGUAGUCAGCAGCAAGUUUUACCUCACACGGGAACUGUAAGGUUUAUCGAACCAGGAGGACUCCUAAGAUCAAUAAGUAGGUGUCUUCCACCCUGGCGCUAGCAUAAGACAUGGACCUGCACACACACAACAAAUAACUUUGCCCCCAACGAGUACAGAGAGGUUGUCAAUCUCUCCGGCCUUGUAGUUUGCAAAAGAAUCAAAACACAAGCGGGAAAGUAAUAGUGAUUACAACAAAAAAGUAAAUGAAAACGGUAAAUGGUGGAGGUGUAAACAAUGAUGGUGAUAUGGACCGGAGUCACAUGAUGUUCACUAGUGGUGUCUCUCUCCCAAAAGACGAUAAACAACUAUGCUUGGGUAAACAACUCAUAGUUGGGCAAUUGAAAAAAGUUUGAACGCACCGCAAUGCUAAUUAUGCUACUUGAUAGUUAGAGGCUCAAUAGUAAUGGGUUGUAUGCCAAGACAAGUAGAUAAUUUAUUCAUUAGCAUCUACUUACCAAUCAUCCACCUUGAGAUAUCUAUACAGAACAUCUCUCCGGUAUUAAGUUGCGAUCCCCACCCAAAGUGUAAACUCAAAGCAAUGGACCACUGCAUUAACGAACUAUGCGUAAGGUAAACAAUCCUUGCAACCAUGGUCACAAGCCCUAUUGUUUUCUCCCUGGUGGCAACAGCACAUCCCCUAGUCUCAUAUUUAUCUCACUCAAGCUAGACAUCGAGGGGCAUAAACCCACAAUCGUGCAUAACUGUCAUAGCCCGAGACGAACGCCCUAGAAGAUUCCCCUUUUAUUUCGUUUUCGUCUUGUGGCUUAUUUGUCUGUCACACUCAUCAUCGCAUCAUGCGCAUCAUCUGGAUUGCAUCGGCACCCUGUUGCCGCCAGUUUUCAAAAGUUGCAUCCGUUAUUAGUUGUCGGUUCUCUCUGUGUUCGUCGUUGCCCGUUUUGAGCCCAACCACACACGCACGCGCCCGCGACAUCGUCAAAACCUUGUUUUUAGAAGUAUGUAUAAAACUUUCUUUGAUUGGGUUGAAACUUGACGUGCGGUCUUUUUUAGAUAUAGGUAGGCCGCCUGCCAAAUUUCGUCGCAAUCAGAGUCCGUCUGGUACCAGAAAGGUCGACCGUAGCGGCACCGUCUCGGUUACCCGUCGGACGCUUUUCGGUGUUUAAUAAUGAUGUUGUCGGGUGCCCAUUUUCCCUCUCAUCUCCAGCAAGCCUACUCUACACGGCCACCUCGCCCGUCCCCGCAUGCGAGACCGUUCGAUUCCCACCGUAUGGUUGAAACCGGGGCGAAAAACUGCUAAACCUAGCCCCCCUUCCCUAUUUAAACAACUCUCCCCUUCCAUUUCUAUCUCAUCCCUAAUCUCCACCUCGAAAUCCAUGCCCCGUAACCCUAGCGCAGGCUCCACCUCCUCCAUGUCUCCCUCCUCCAGCCACUGGGCCUGCCCGGGCCCAAACCAAGCCUGCCGAAACCCAUCUAGGCCCGAGGAACCGCCGCCCCCGAGCUGCACCUCUACUCCCGCAGCAGCUCCUCGAGCCCGAUCCGCUACCCCGCCGGCGGCCAUCGCUGCAGGAGCGCGCUAUCCCGCCGCCAGGUGCCUUCGCUGCCGCCAUCCGGUGUCCUGCUGCACGGAGCAGUCGUCGCCCCGGUUCGCUGCUGCAUCCCUGCCUCCCGUCGCUCUAGCCCGCCGCUACGUGCCUCACCAGCCCCGUAGCCGGUUCGCCGCCACCGUGGUUCGCUAGAGCCGGCCUCUCCUCGCCGGAUCUGGCCGGUGCCGGCCAGAUCCGCCGCCCCGAGCUGACAUCGCGAGCCCCGCCGCCGAUUCCGAAGCCAAGCUGCCGCCGCCGCUAUUCUCUGCUCGGCCACAAGCACGAGGACGAGCCGGCCUCGCUCACCCCACUCUUGGGCCAGCUCGCCCGCACUGGUGGGCCGUGCCGUCGCUCCAGUUGGUCUAGGCGCUCGCCCCCACGUGGCCAGGAGCCGGCCGAGGAGUGCCUCCCCACCCCAGGCCCAGUAGCAGUCCCGACCAGGCCGGACCAAGUGGACCGCGAGGUGAGCACCCCCCUGCCGCUAUCCCUCGCCCCGACGAGAUUUAGUUGUUUUGCACUUACCAGAUUCGGCCCACUAGCUACAGAUUCGGCCCGUGGAUAUUUUUAGAAUAACCUGCGAAUUAAUCCAAUUUCAGAAAUUCUAGAUAUUAAAACGUCCAUAACUUUUUAACCGUGCGUCGGAUCACAAUGAAUUAUAUAUGCAACUCAUGUAGUUUUUUGCGUAGAAUAAUAUUUUGCAACUUGCAUGCAUGUUUGGAGUGGUUUGACCCGUUGUUUACCAAGUUUUGUAUGCUGUCCUAAUAGGGGAUUGUCCCGUAUUUAUUUUCAUGCGUGUCCGGAUUGCUCAAAUCCCGUAGUUUAAAUGCUCAAGUUAUUAGAGACCUUUUGCAAUGUAUUUUAGAGUAGUUGUUUGCAUUUUUGCAUGUAGGUUCCGUCGCUAGUUUGUUAUAUCGCGUUUAGGACAUAUUCUCGCAUAUACGUGUGGCGUUAUUUUUAUUUUGCAACCCCACAUGUUUAUAUAUGUUUUCGCGGUAGAAAAAUCCAUAGGAUUUUUUCUGUGUAAUUCGUUUUAGCUUUUGAGCAAGUUAAUUCGCGCGAUAUUUUACCAUGUUGCCCUCUAGUAUUUUUCGUAGGAAUUAUUCCGUGCUUCGUUUGAAGGAGUUGUCAACUAGAGAGUUGAGCUUUGAUGUGUAGACUAGCCCCUGGUAAUUUUGGCUGCAUUAGAAUUUCAUGUUUAGGUGUGGUUUGAUUGCUCUCAAGUUGCUAGAAAUAGUGAGGUUUUAGGGAUGCUGAAAUAUUUCUAAGUCUGAAAUCUGUUAUAUUUUGUUGCUGUCUUGUCUUGCUUCUACCUUGUGAUCUGUAGCUCUUUUGAGGUUGGUGCAAUGGAGUUAGUUGUAGACUUUGUUAUUCGCUAGCAUGCUGUGCAUUUUCAUGCCAUUUGGAGUCCUGUAGCUUAUGGUUUUGCUGCUAUCAAUAUGCCUUCAGAUCAAAAACUGCACUUUCAUGAAGUGUUAUUUUCACUAAGUCUGAAACUGUGUGUGAGAAGCCAUUUUGUGACUUCUUUUUCUAGUGAUCCUUGAUGCCAUGCUAGGUGUUGUUGGUUGUAUGUUGUAGUGCUUCUUGCCCUCUAUCUCAUCAUGCCUUGGAUGAGCAUGUUGGGAUUUUGUACCUUGUAGUUGUGGGGCGUAGAAUAUGCUAUGUGGGUGAUUUUGGCAGAUUGUAGUGAUUUCUAGUUUAGCUCGUAGUUUCUGAACCGUAGCUCCGAUUUGAUCGUGUACUAUAUGAAACUUGCUUACAAUAUCGUGUAGUUUCAUUUUCUCUUGCUGGUUGUAUGUUUUGAAGUGCUCGUAACCGUCGUUGCACACAUAUUGCAUUCAUGCUAUCAUAUCUUGCGGUGUCCGUAUCUUUUGAUCCGUAGCUCCGUUGGCGAUGUUCUCUAUGUGUAAAUUGCUUGUAACUACGCGUAGAAUCACGUGAGCCUAUUUGUUUUGCUGUUUAAGAAAUAAUUACAUGUGUUAGUUCAGAUCUGGACAGAAUUGUAAAUUAACAUGUGAGGUCGUCUCGGAGAUGCUAUAUGACAUUUCCGACCUCAUUUAAAAUGCCUAGAUAGGUAGAAUAAUUGCGCUUCACCUCUUGACAUGUUUAACCACAUUUAAUAUUGCCGAGUACCUAAUCGGGAUAGAACUAAAUAACUCGUAUGUGGAGUUUCGUCAAUAUGCAACUCGUUGCAUAUUGAACUUCACUUAAUGUGUAGUGUUGAGUAUUGUGAAUUGCCAUGUCGUGUCUUGCAUGUGUUCAGCUACUCAUGCAUCAUUUGUGUUGUGCAUCGUGUGGUGAAUAUCUGUGUUGAUGCUUGGUUCUGGUUUCCUUCGUCUCGAUAGAGUUUCGCAAGCGUGUCGGAUUGUGAGGACCCGUUCGACUACAUCGGUUCUUCUACUUCACGGAGUCAUUUUUCUUCCAAGCGGGAUCUCAGACAAGAUGACCAUUUCCCUAGAUACCAUUACUAUCAUUGCCAUGCUAGNUCUCUAUGUGUAAAUUGAUUGGAACAACGCGUAGAAUCACGUGAACCUAUUUAUUUUGCUGCUUAACAAAUAUUAAAACAUGUUAGUUCAGAUCUGGAUAGAUUUAUAAAUUAACGUAUGAGGUCAUCUUGCAGAUGCUAUAUGUCAUUACCGACCUCAUUUAAAAUGCCUAGAUAGGUAGUUUAAUAACGCUUAACCUCUUGCAAUGUUUAAUAACAUUUAAUAUCGCCAUGUACCUAAUCGGGACAGAACUAAAUAAUUCGUAUGUGGUGUUUCAUCAAUAUGCAACUCGUUGCAUAUUGAACUUCACUUAAGGUGUAGUGUUUGAUUGUUGUGAAUUGCCAUGCCAUGUCUUGAAUAUAUUCAACCGUUCAUGCAUCAUAUGUGUUGUGCAUCGUGUGGUGAAUAUCUGUGUUGAUGCUUGUUUCUGGUUUGCUUCGUCUUGAUAGAGUUCCGCAAGCAUGUCGGAAAGUGAGGACCCGUUCGACUACAUCGGUUCGUCUGCUUCACAAAGUCGAUCUUCUUCCAAGAGGGAUCUCAGGAAAGAUGACCAUUUCCCCAGAUACCAUUACUAUCAUUGCCUUGCUAGUUUUACCGUUUCUAACGUUAUGUCUCGUCGCCUACCACCUGUUAAAUAUCAGCCUCCCAACAUUGCCAUGAAAACCUUCAACAUGUUCACAACCUAGCAAACCACUGAUUGGCUAUAUUACCACUUGUUUAACCAUGUGUUAGCGUUGCUAGUUGCAGGUGCAGUUGCUUCCAUGCGAUAACAUGGGUUCCUUGUUAUAUCACCAUAUUAUUGCUAAUUAACUUAAUGCACCUAUAUGCUUGGUAAAAGGUGCAACGCUUGGCCUUUCUAGCCUGGUGUUUUGUUCCACCUUUGCCCCCUUAGUUUCGGCUAUCGGUGUUAUAUUCCAUAACUGAGCGCUCCUAACACGGUCGGGGUUGUUAUGGGGACCCCCUUGACAAUUCAUUUUAAAUUAAAGCUGGUCUGGCAAGGCCCAACAUUGAUUCUACAUUUGCCCAACAUAAUAAUUCUAUUAAUACUGAAAGAAUAGGGAGUUAGCGUUACCCGAGGAGUAAUUCAACAUAAUACAAGGAGGGCCAGUGAUGAUGGUGCUGGUCCAAAACAGAGCACUGUGCGGGCCAAUCCAGGGCAACUNNNNNNNNNNNNNNNNNNNNNNNNNNNNNNNNNNNNNNNNNNNNNNNNNNNNNNNNNNNNNNNNNNNNNNNNNNNNNNNNNNNNNNNNNNNNNNNNNNNNNNNNNNNNNNNNNNNNNNNNNNNNNNNNNNNNNNNNNNNNNNNNNNNNNNNNNNNNNNNNNNNNNNNNNNNNNNNNNNNNNNNNNNNNNNNNNNNNNNNNNNGAUGCUUUGGGUAAUCUUAGAGUUGAAGUUUUCCACGAAGGAGUCCGAGGAGAUCGCGAGAUUCGCGAUCGAGGAUUUCUAUGCGGCUUGUGGUAAUUUGUGAUGGACUAGUUGGAGCACCCCUGCAGGGUUAAACCUUUCGGAAAGCCGUGCCCGCGGUUAUGUGGCAACGUGGAAACUUGUUUAAUACUGGUUCUAUAUAACUUGAAGUUAACUUAACUAAAAUAUGCCAACUGAGUGUGUAACCAUGACUAUCUCUUUCGUGAGUUCCUUCUCCGAUCGAGGACACGGUGGGGUUAUGUUUGACGCAAGUAGGUGUUCAGGAUCAUUCAUUUGAUCAUCAGUAGUUCACGUCCGCUGUGCGUAGAUCAUCCCCCUCUUAUUUCUUGUACUCGUAAGUUAGCCACCUCAUAUAUUGCUUAGUCACUUGCUGCAGCCUCACCACUUAACCAUACAUCACCCACUAAGCUUUGCUAGUCUUGAUACCUUUGAAAAUGAGAUUGCUGAGUCCCAUGUGGCUCACAGAUUACUACAACACCAGUUGCAGGUACAGGUAAAGAUUAUUUGACGCGAUCAUGUUGAUUGUUAAUUUGGAGUUUCUUCUUCUUCUUCAUCAAUCUAGGAUGGGUUCUAGGACGGAAGCCUGGGAUAGCAAGGAUGGACGUCGUUUUCUUUUCUCGUUUGUUUUCGUCCAUAGUCGGACCCUUCUCUUCUUUGUGAUGUUUAUGUAUUGUACUAAUGUGACUCUGAUGUAGCUUGUGGCGAGUGUAAGCCAAUUCCACAUAUCUCAUCUUUUCAGUACAUGUACUUGUAACGAUAUCCAUUCUUGCAAAAUGACGAGAUGCGCUUCUAUCCCAGUCGAGGCCCUCGCGCAAAAAUAAGGAUAGGAUCGCAUCAUGGGCGUUACAAUAACACUCCCUCUUUGUCAUGCCCAAGAUGCGACCCUAUCCUCAAUUUCGCACGAGGGCCUUGUCAGGGAUAGAAGCGCAUCUCGUUGUGUCGCAAGAAUGGAUAUCCUUACAAGUACAUGUACUGAAAAGAAGAGAGAUAUAUAUAGAAUUGGCUUACACUCGCCACAUGCUACAUCCGAGUCACAGCAGUACAAUACAUUAACAUCAUGAGGAAGAGCAGGGUCUGUCUAUGGACGAAAACAAACGAGAAAAGAAGAACGACGUCCAUCCUUGCUAUCCCAGGCUGCCGGCCUGGAACCCAUCCUAGAUCGAUGAAGGAGAAGAAGAAGAAGAAGCAACUCCAAAUGAACAAUCAACGCGCUUGCGUCAAGUAACCUUUACCUGUACCUGCAACUGGUGUUGUAGUAAUCUGUGAGCCAUAGGGGACUCAGCAAUCUCAUUUCCAAAGGUAUCAAGACUAGCAAAGCUUAAUUGGUUAGGUAUGGUUAAGUGGUGAGGUUGCAGCAGCGGCUAAGCAUAUAUUUGGUGGCUAAACUUACGAGUACAAGAAAUAAGAGAGGGAGAUCUACGCAUAGCGGACGUGAACUAUUGUUGAUCAAAUAAAUGAUCCUGACCACCUACCUACGUCUGACAUAACCCCACCGUGUCCUCGAUUGGAGAAGGAACUCACGAAAGAGACAGUCAUGGUUACGCACAUAGUUGGCAAGUUUUAAUUAAGUUAUUUUCAAGUAGUCUAGAACCAGUGUUAAACAAAGUUUCCACGUUGCCACAUAACCGCGGGCACGGCUUUCCGAAAAGAUUUAACCCUGCAGGGGUGCCUAGUCCAUCACAAAUUUCCACAAGCCGCAUAGAAAUCCUAUAUCAAGAAGCUCGCGAUCUCGUCGGACUCCUUAGUGCAAAAACUUCAACUCUGAGAUUACCCAAAGCAUCNNNNNNNNNNNNNNNNNNNNNNNNNNNNNNNNNNNNNNNNNNNNNNNNNNNNNNNNNNNNNNNNNNNNNNNNNNNNNNNNNNNNNNNNNNNNNNNNNNNNNNNNNNNNNNNNNNNNNNNNNNNNNNNNNNNNNNNNNNNNNNNNNNNAUCACCAGAAUCCCGAUGCACAAGAUAUCUUGUUAAAGGUAAAACUAAUCCAGCAAGGCCACCCGGUGUGUCGACGAUCCCGAUAGGAGCCGCAUAUCUCGUUCUCAGGACACACCGUCUAUGCAUAGUGGACGGGAGCCAAACCACGAGUUGCCCCGAGGUGGCACCGCCGACUGCUAGGUGGGUGGACCAACACUCAUGCGAAGCACUGACCUGGGGGGCGGGUUAAAUUAUCCUCGGGGUCCGGAAAGUCCCUAUGCAAUUUUUAUUAGGUUAUUAGGCAAAUGUAGUACCAAAGUUGGGCCUUGCCAGACCAGCUUUUAUCUAAAACGAAUUAUCAAGGGGGUCCCCAUAACAACCCCGAUCAUCUUAGGAGCGCUCAAAUAUGGAACAUAACACCGGUAGCCGAAAACUAAGGGGCAAAGGUGGAACAAAACACCAGGCUAGAAAGGCCGAGCCUUCCACCUUUUACCAAGUAUAUAGGUGCAUUAAAUUAAAUAGCACUUAAUAUGGUGAUAUGACAAGGAACCCAUGUUAUCACAUGGAAGCAACUAGACCUGCAACUAGUAAUGCUAACAACAUGGUUAAGCAAGCAGUAACAUAGCCAAUAAGUGGUUUGCUAGGCUCAACAGGUUGAAGGUUUUCAUGGCAUUGUUGAGAGGCUGAUAUUUAACAUGUGGUAGGCAACGAGACAUAAUCGAUAGCAUCGAAAUAGCUAGCANGAAAUCCAUAUGCUACACGCCUCAUUCCGACAAACGGAUAAAAAGUUACGGGCAUUCUAAUAUUCGGUUAUUUUCUGGAAUUUAUAUUAUUCCGAAAAAAUCCCUAAAAGGAAAAAGAAUAACUACCGGGCCUAAACUUCUAACAGGCCAAAAGAACAGAGGCGCAACAAUAUUUAUUCGACGCCUAUGGUGCGACAUAAGGCGGCAGGGGGUGAUUACCUCGGGCUCGGCCCGGUCCGAGGGGAUGUUGGGCCGAAGAUCCAUGCCUGGGGACGACCGGGGCGGCGAGGCUCGCGGGCGAAGGCCAUCGGGCCUGCUGGUGGUGAGCUGGGCCGCAGUGGGGGGGAAGGCCGAGGACGCUUCGCUAGAGCGGGCGUUCGAGCCGUCGGUCUCCCCGUCGUGUCCGAGGCACAGACCUGGCGGCGGCGCAGAUACGGGCGCAGGCGGCAGCGCAUGGCGGCGGCGGGAUUCGGCGGAGCUCACCAGGGAUGGAGGGGCGAUGCGGCGAGGGGCUGGCGCGGGGCAGCGCUGCAGCCCACGGCGGCGGGGAAAGAAGAGCUUCGGCGAGGGCUGGUUCCGCGCGUUCCCGGCGAGUCGCUGCAGGGGUCAACGAUGCCGAAGGCGGUCGGAGGGAGGAGGAAGCCGGCGGGGCAGCUGGAGGCGCGGGGCACCGGCGGGGAAGGCGUGGGUUCAUGGGAGGCGGCCUGACGAGGCGACGGGGAGACGCUGGAGGCGAAGCUGCGAGUGGCGGCGGUCGGAUGGGCCUGCCCGGUCCCGAUCUGGGCUCGGUGGGCCCGGCGGUUGGUGGGAGGCUGAGGGGAGAGAGAGAGGGUUAGGGUUCUGGGGGUAGGUGGGCGCGGUUCCAUAGGCAUGGGGUUGGUUGUCCAAAAUAAUGCACACGGGGACUAUAUAUAGGUAAAUGGGGGGCUAGGUUAACCGAAAUUUCGUUCCGGAUCCAACCGUGCGGUCGGAAUCGGACGAUUCCACAUGCGGGAACGGGUAAGUGGCCGUGUAGUGUAGAUAUCCGGAGACGAUAGGGGAAACGGGCGACGCGGCAACGAUUUUUAAAACACCGACAACCGUCCGACGAUAGACCGAAUACGGUGCCGCUACGGUCGAUCGUUCGGGUACCAGACGGACUCCGAUCGCGACGAAAUUCGACAGGCGGCCUAGCUAUAACUAAUUACGACCGCAUGCCAAGUUUCACCCCGAUCAGAGAAAGUUUUCAACGCACUUUUAAAACAGGGUUUUGACGAUGCCGCGGGCGCGUGCGUGUGCGGUCGGGCUGAGAACGGACAACGACGAGAGCCGGCAACUAACAACGGAUGCAAGUUUGAAAACUGGCGGCAACGGGAUGCCGAUGCAAUGCUGAUGAUGCGCAUGAUGCGAUGAUGAUGCGACAAAAUAAAAUAGACACACGACAAAAACAGAAUAGAAGGGGAAUCUUCUGGAACAUCGGCAUCGGGCUGUCACAACUCUCCUACACUACAAGAGAAUCUCCCCUCGAGAUCCAAGAAUGAAAGGGGGAGAGGCUGAGAAAGAUAAUUAGGUAAAACUUAGUCGCUUCUUUGACAAACGAGUGAAACAAACGAUCUUUGAAGGUUACAAAGCAAUGAGGAAUGAUAUGGGAAAGAAGCAAGAAUUCACGGAAAAUUUCGGUAGCAUUUUGGUUGGAAAAUGGGACAGAAAAUUCGAUAAGGUAGGAGAAUUAGACAAUAAUCAUAACAAACAAGUAAAUAGAACAAGGAAACACCAAAAUCUUGAUAGAACAACAUGAUUGACCCAAAUGAGCAACAUCACAAUGCCUCCGGAACAAUAGAAUAGGAACAAGCUCAUACGGAAGAAGAGAAUGAAGAAAAGAAUGACAACUACUAUCACAAUAGAAUUGAAGAGCCUCCGGACAAAAGAAUUGACGUAGUAGUUGGAAAACCAACAACGAAAAGAACAAGAUAGUAGUGGACUUAUGAAAAUCAUCUCAACAUUUAUGAGGUGACAACCAACGACUAAAAGAAACAAGGAUAGUCUCGGGAAACAAGACAAGCAAAACUUCUUACACCAAGAGGAAACCUUGAGAACUUGGACCAAUGAUAACACCAUAAUAGCCACAAUCCUAAGAAAAAGCUUUAGGUGAAACCUAAACCAAGAUACCUCAAUGAAGAAAUCAUGGGUUGAAAUAUCUCAUGAUCAAAGAAUUGGUGGAUUUAAUUAUCUCAUUCUUGAAAGAAAAACUCUUUGAGGCUCCUACACUAACAAGAGUGCUAUAAUACCACCUCAAAGGAUGAAGGAAGAACAGACGCACUGGAAAUGCAAGAGAAAGAAUACUUGAGGUACUCCAACAGGAAUCUUGAAGAACACUUUGAGAAAAAAUCACAUCCUUGAAGAAACAGCAUGACGCGCCUCCGUAUCAAAAGGAUGAUGCAAGAUAUGAAGGAUGAAAGAAUAAGAUUCAAGCCUUGCAAAGACUUCGAUGAAGCUUCACGAAGAGAUACUUGAGAAAACUUGGAACUCCGGAAAAAAAGAUAAGAACACUUGAGAAAAAGGAAUUGAUAUCGUUAGCCACUCCGAAAGAAGAAUUCAGAUUACUAUGAACAAGAUUAAGAAUUAUGUUAUGGUCACCCUUCAUCAAGUUUAAUUGAUGACAAGCAACGGAUUUAGCGUAGCACUUAUUCUUCUAGAAAGAACUUGAAGAAAGAGGGAGAUAUGCACCACAUGAAGCAUAAUUGAAGGAAGCAUCGGUGAGAAUUGGAUUGAAUGGGGAUACCAAGAAUUAAUGGAGAUACAUGAGAAUUAAGAGAUCAUGAGCCACCAGAGAGAAAACUAGAACAAGGCACCAGAAUAAGCGAGAGACGAACGAAGAGACAACAAUGGAGAAGAAUUUGAGAAUGAAAGUUGCAAGCUGGGAAUGAAAAAUAUCUUCUCGAUGAUGGCCUUCGGAGGAUCAGAAUGAAAACAACUCAGAAAAGCACCGAAUAGCAAGAGAAGGGAUUACUCAUGAUUGGAACAAAUAAGAUGACGACACCAAGCUGAAAUGAUGAAUCUUCUAGAGAAUGAACCAAGAUUCGAGAGAAACACUCUUCGGUCUUCGACGAUGAACAGGAUGAAGAGAACACCACCAAGAACUACUAAGAUACUCCGGAAGAACGAAGAAUGAAAGGUUGAGCCAAAGACGAAAAUAAAUUUGAAGCGAUCUUGAAGAAGGAAUAUGACUGAUGAAAUUCAUACUUACGUCAUAGUUGAAAAGAUUAAAGAUCUCCGGAAAGAUUAGAAGAGACAUAUAAGAUCGUGGGAAAACGUGUGGGUUAUGGGCCCACUUAAAGAAACCACCGUUGAAAAGAUUGAAAGAAAGAUUGAAUGCACUGGUACAAAUGAAAUCCAGAUGAGGUUGAGAACCUCAAAAUACUUAAAGAAUAGAAAACACGAAACUUCUGAGAUAUCUUCAACACACCGGAUAGAAAGAGAAGAAUGAAUAACAAGAUAGGCUGAAAAGAAUCUCCAACACAGGAAAGAAUUUAAAGGAUGAAAAGGAUAUGAUGACACGAACAACUAAAUUGAAUUCACCGGAAAAGACCAGAAGAAUGAAUAAAGAUGAACACGAAGCUCGUGAUAAUCUUCACAACGAAUCACCGGGUAAGAAAUAAAAAAACAGACAGUGAAAGCACAAUGAAAAUAAAACUCUUGGAUGAAAAUUGAAUCACUGAAGAAAAGGGUGGGAGGGCGGGGAAAAACACAGACAACUUGGGACAUAUGUGAAAAACUCCGGAAACAAUUGAGAAAUUGAACCUGCAAAAUUGAAGAGGAUAGAAUUACAUGAAGAGAGACACACCGGUUGAAAAGAAUUGACAUAAAUACUCCGACUGACAGAAAUUUAAAAGACAAGCUGAUUGAACAAAAGAAUUUGCAUUCUCACAUAAAAAUAUGAGAACACCUCUUGGAAAGAUCUGAAAUCACCAUUUUGACAUCGAAGCAACUUGAAUUACCAUAUUCCAACAAAAACAAAAGGUGUGGCUUAUUAAACAAGCCAGAACAAACUGAUGAGAAAGAUUGCGUCCGAUAUUUUCGUGGACAGGAUCGCACGGGCUCGACCUUAGAGUAGCCAUCAAGUGCGGGGCAGUGCACCCGACAUACGAAGCGUCCCCGAGUCGUAGCAAGCUACAAGGACUCUUUAAGACACAACGAGAAUCGCUGUAAGUCGACCGUCAACAAACUAAUCCACUAGAUGUCGAACCCCAACCUAACAUCAUGCAUUUGUUGGAAGAUUGUCCUAUAAAUAACUAGUUGAAUUCCCACCUAAGAAUUCCCGAAAUUUCUGGUCAUGCAAUCUGGUACACGGAUACAAGGAGUAAUAAUCAUAGAACUCCUAUACUAACCCGUCACCUGUAUCACAUCCGUCAACACACGUCCAGAAUCUCGGACCUUCAUCUACUACAGACCCUCAUGAUCACAAUGAUACAAAGUAUGGCAGUACUCCCGAACAAUCUGCACCAGUACUGGGGACAUCGGGGUUAUCUCGCCACUACAAGUAUUGAAGCAAUUACGAACAUCCUUCGUUCUGAGAUACUAAGAAACCUGAAUGAUAACGAUGUGCUCGAGAAUCCCCUGGAGCUCAACUCCCCGGAAGAAAUCAAGUUAGACAAGAGGCACCAAGACAGAACUCCGUCACAUCGGCAUCAUAUAGAUUCCAAAAAUAUCCGCGUGAUCCUAAAAAAAUUGAGUGAGAAGAGGAGGAGAAUUAAAAUAUUACGUCAAGAUUCCUCACCAGAGCAUAGAAGAGGAGAAAAAAGAAUCCUACUCUCUGAUAUAUAACUAGACUCAAAGCAGUUUUUCACUAGACUCGACUCGGCCAAGUUCGAUCAAUCAAGGGGGCUCCUAGGUCGGUACUGCUCUGACACCAACUUGUCACGCCCAAGAUGCGACCCUAUCCUCAAUUUCGAGGGCCUUGUCAGGGAUAGAAGCGCNNNNNNNNNNNNNNNNNNNNNNNNNNNNNNNNNNNNNNNNNNNNNNNNNNNNNNNNNNNNNNNNNNNNNNNNNNNNNNNNNNNNNNNNNNNNNNNNNNNNUAGCUCUUUUGAGGUUGUUGCAAUGGAGUUAGUUGUAGACUUUCUGAUUCUCUAGCAUGCUGUGAGUUUUCAUGCCAUUUGGAGUCCUGUAGAUUAUGGUUUUGCUGCUGUCAAUAUGCCUUCAGAUCGAAAACUGCACUUUCAUGAAGUGUUAUUUUCACUAAGUCUGAAACUGUGUGUGAGAAGCCAUUUUGUGACUUCUUUUCCUAGUGAUCCUUGAUGCCAUGCUAGGUGUUGUUGGUUGUAUGUUGUAGUGCUUCUUGCCCUCUAUCGCCUCAUACCUUUGAUGAGCAUGUUGGGAUUUUGUAGCUCGUAGUUGUGGGGCGUAGAAAAUGCUAUGCAGCUGAUUUUGGCAGAUUGUAGUGAUUUACUGUUUAGCUUGUAGUUUCUGAACCGUAGCUCGUAGUUGUGGGGCGUAGAAAAUGCUAUGUGGCUGAUUUUGGCAGAUUGUAGUGAUUUAUUGUUUAGCUCGUAGUUUCUGAACCGUAGCUCCGAUUUGAUCGUGUCCUAUUUGAAACUUGCUUAGAAUCUCGUGUAGUUUCAUUUUCACUUGCUGGUCUUAUGUUUUGAAGUUCUCGUGACCGUCAUUAUACACAUAUUACAUUCAUGCCAUCAUAUCUUGCGGUGUCCGUAUCUUUUGAUCCGUAGCUCCGUUGGAGAUGUUCUCUAUGUGUAAAUUGCUUGUAACGACGCGUAGAAUAAAAAGAACCUAUUUGUUUUGCUGUUUAACAACUAAUGAAAUGUGUUAGUUCAGAUCUGGACAGAAUUGUAAAUUAACAUGUGAGGUCGUCUCGGAGAUGCUAUAUGACAUUUUCGACCUCAUUUAAAAUGCCUAGAUAGGUAGGUUAAUUGCGCUUCACCUCUUGCCAUGUUUAACCACAUUUAAAUAUGCCGAGUACCUAAUCGGGAUAGAACUAAAUAACUCGUAUGUGGAGUUUUGUCAAUAUGCAACUCGUUGCAUAUUGAACUUCGCUUAAUGUGUAGUGUUGAGUGUUGUGAAUUGCCAUGCCGUGUCUUGCAUGUGUUCUGCUGCUCAUGCAUCAUUUGUGUUGUGCAUCGUGUGGUGAAUAUCUGUGUUGAUACUUGGUUCCGGUUUCCUUCGUCUCGAUAGAGUUCCGCAAGCGUGUCGGAUUGUGAGGACCCGUUCGACUACAUCGGUUCGUCUGCUUCACGGAGUCAUUUUUCUUGCAAGCGGGAUCUCAGGCAAGAUGACCAUUUCCCCAUAUACCAUUACUAUCAUUUCCAUGCUAGCUAUUUUGAUGCUAUCGAUUAUGUCUCGUUGCCUACCACAUGUUAAAUAUCAG
rnacentral:lncRNA from 1 species